rnacentral:lncRNA from 1 species
CCACAAGGUGGAAACGGCGGCGUUCUUGCUAAUUUUGAUGUCAAAACACCUGAUGUUUUCGACAACAAAUACUUCUCCAAUCUUAGACUCCGCAAAGGCCUUCUGCAGAGUGAUCAAGAGUUGUUUUCGACUCCUGGUGCCGAUACCGCUGCCAUUGUCGAGGACUUUGGGAGGAACCAGAAUGCUUUCUUUAAAAACUUUGUGACCUCAAUGAUAAGAAUGGGCAAUUUGAAACCACUGCAGGAAAUCAAGGGGAGAUUAGAUUGAACUGCAGGAGGGUCAAUGGAAACAGUAAUAUUGCAACAAGAUAAUCAUCAUCGGAGGGUGAUUUGGUCAGCUCUUUCUAAUAAGCUAGCUUGCGGCAUAUGCGAGAGAGUUUUUGUGCUUAACAAACUCGAAUUUAAUCUUCGCUUUGUUUGAAACAUGUUAUGUAUUUUCAAAUAAAUUAACUACCAAACUUGAGUUUAAUCUAAUUUUCUUGUCUGAAACAUGUUAUGUAUUUUCAAAUAAAUUAAUUAAACUUGUGUUUUUGUGUUCACGUCCUGCUUCUAUACGCAUAAAAAAGCCUGGUACAGUAAAUUCUCUAUAUAGUCAUAUUGUUGAGACCGGAUAAAUUUAUUCUUAUAAAGAGGUUAUAACUCAAUAAAAGUAUAGUACAAAAAUUAUUGUCUUUACUUAAUUAUCACUAAUGCAAGUGAUAUAGGGGUAAAUUAUGUCAUGUAUUAAUAAAUUAAUAAUUAUUUAAUGUAACAUGACAUAUAUUUUUGAAAUAUUAUUAUUAUGUGAAAGUAAGUUUAUUAAGUUGGGACCUAUAAAAAAAUAUAACUUAUUACAAUGUGAAAUUUAUUUUUAAUUAUAACUGGUCGCAAGUUGGGGCCACGAUUUUUUAUUACUAUAAAGAAAUUAUUCAUAUACAAAGUAUUUCUAUUUGGAGGUUUUACUGUAUUAUUGUUUAUUAUUUGUUCUUUCAACAUCAUCAAUGUCACGUUUUAACCAAUAAAAAUUAUGCAUAUAUGUGGCUUGUGCCGUAGGCUUGCUGCUAAAAAUUAAUAUUAGAUCGGGCAGAAAAAUUUAUGAAUUUAAAUUUAUUUGUCGAAUGAUACUCUUGUUCUCUUAGAAAUUCUUUUAUCUCUCUUAUUAUUUUUUUUCGUUUCGUCCUUGAAAUUUAAUAAAAUCAGUUUUCUCUUGAACUUAAUUACGCUACUUUUAUCUUUUAUAAUCUAAGAGAACAUAGAUGAAUUUAUCUGUUAAGGAAUUUACCUUACAUCAGUUAAUUAAAAUAGUUACAAUUCUAAAAUUAAAUUUUUAUAUGAAUUACAAAACAAUCACUAGCUAUAGGCAUAAUAUGUAGAAGCCAUAGGGAAAAUGAUAUUUCGGUAAAUAAUAAUUAAAAUUCCGAAGGAUUUUGAUUUGUGGAAUCCACACGCUAAAAGAAUAAUAUUAAUCAGAGGCCAAGGCCCCGCUACCGCCACCAAACAAAGGCACCAUUUCAUGAAUUAUUAACUUUAAGUGGCUUAGAUUCAACCACUCGUGGGUGAGGAGAGUUUUAGUUUCAUUUCUGUAAAGACUAAAAAUAAAUAAAUAAAACGGCUGGGAGGACCGGUACGGCUUCAAAAUUUUGUGGUGAAACAUACGCUUUUACUAUAUCUUAGGGAAAACAUUAAUUAUGUAAUUAUUUCAUUAUAUCAUUUUACGUUUUCUGUUUUGCAUUUUACAUUUUCCUUUUCACCGAAAUAAAAAAUGGGUUCAUAAUUUGCAGCCACCAAAUAAGUUCACAUUUAAGACUAAACUAUUAAUUUUGAAAAAAUAGAUGUGCUUGUUUGUUUCUGGGGCGCCUAUAGAAGGCCCAAAACGUGUCUUGCUAAUUAAGUUGUGGAUCACCCCUUAUAAACCCAACAUCUCUCUUGUACUAUGCCGAUGUGAGAUUUGCUUAGGGUGUUAUAUACACCCCCUCUUGGGGACUCAGCGUCCUUACUGAGGUUUGCCCCACCAUCGCUCAAGAGGAAACAUGGAGCCGCUCUUAUACCAUAAUGUCAUAACCCAACCCAGACCUGAUAAGAUAUUAUCCGCUUUGGAUCUUAACAAGGCCCACAUGAGUUUGUUUUCUGGGGCGCCCAUACACCCCAAAAUGCGUAUUGCCAAUUAAGGUGUGGAUCACCUCUUAUAAACCCAACAUCUCUCCCGUGCUUUACCGAUGUAGGAUUUUCCUAGGGUGUUACAUACACCGCCUUGGGGACUCAGCGUCCUCGCUAAGGUUUGCCCCACCAUCGCUCAAGAGGACACGCAGAGCCGCUCUGAUACCAUAAUGUGAUGACUCAACCUAGACCUGACAAGAUAUUGUCCACUUUGGGCCUUAAUAAGGCCUGCACGAUUUUGUUUCUGGGGCACCCAUACACCCCAAAAUGCGUCUUACCAAUUAAGGUGUGGAUCACCUUUUAUAAUCCCAGUAUCUCUCCCAUGCUUUGCCGAUAUGGGAUUUGCCUAGAGUGUUACAUACACCCCCAUUGGGGACUCAGCGUCCUCACUGAGGUUUGCCCCACCAUUGCUUAAGAGGACAUGCAGAGCCGUUCUGAUACCAUAAUGUCAUGACCCAACCCAGACUUGGCAAGAUAUUGUCUGCGUUGGACCUUAACAAGCCCGCACAUGUUUGUUUCUACGGCGCCCAUACACCCCAAAACGCAUCUUGCCAAUUAACGUGUGGAUCAUCCUUUAUAAACCCAUUAUCUCUCAUGUGCUUUGCCGAUGUGGGAUUUGUCUAGGGUGUUACAGGUAAGAAGUUUGAACACAAGGUUACUUUUAGAACAUUGAAUGCAACAAUUAUUUCUGAAAGGUUUUAAAUGUUAUGGAUACAGAGGAAUUAAUUCGUAAGUGUAAAGUGAUAGCUAUCAAAGAGAAAGAAAAAAAUAGAGUAACUUUGGAAGUGAUAAUGAAAGAAAAAAGAGAGAAGCUUUUGGUUGGCUGGUUGAUGGGCAAGAUACUUCUUACGAGAGGAGUUCAUAAGGAGGGGUUGAAUAUGGCAUUACUGCAAGUUUAAAGGACAAUUAAAGAAGUUAUGAUAGAGAGCUUGGGUGCUCUUUAUGUUCAAGUUUGCAGAUGAAGCUGAUAAAAGAAGGGUGAUUGCAGGAGGCCUUUGGCACUUCGAUAGGGCCUUAAUUGUCCUUACAGAACCGAAAAGAAUUGGGGAGAUCACAAAACAGUCUUUCACUCAUGCAGAAUUCUGGGUGCAGAUUCGAAAUGUCUCGGUUGCUGUAUGGAAAGAUAUUUUCUCCAAGAAUUAGGGCGAGAAGAUUGAAAUAGUAGAGGAGGUUGAAACAGAAGAAUAUAGUGAAUAUAUUGGGGAAUUUGUAAGAAUUAUAAUUUCGAUCAAUAUGAAUAAGCCAUUAGAAAAGAUCUUACAAGAGGAUGAAGUAGAUAUUCCAAUGCAUGUAGAUUAUGAAUGAUUGCCUGACUUUUAUUUCUACUGUGGAGUUAUUGGCCAUUAAUUCAAGGAGUGUGCUAAGUAUCAGGGCCAACGAAAAGAGGAACUUCCAUAUGAGAUGUGGAUUAAGGUAGUUACAGUGGGAGGACGCUCAAGGAAGCACCAUAUCAAGGAGAAAUGGAAUAGGGAUAAUGGCAAAUCAGUGAGUAAUGCGGCAAACUCAAAACACCACGACUGCUCACAACAACCUCAGCAGAGUCAAAGUAACCCGAUUGACAAAACCAAAUCAAGACUCGAUCAGGAAGAAAUGGGUCAAAAUUAUGAAUUAGCUAUAGGUGAUGAGGUGGAACGAGUAUGUGAGAAACAUUUAAUGAAUGGUGUAUUGGAAAUAACAAUGGCACAACAAGCAGGCGGCAAAACGCAGCAUGAGAUAGAGGGAAACGCAAGAGGACCUGGAAAUAUGGGAAUUCAGGCGAGAAAUAAAAAUGUUAAAAACAAGCGAGAAAUUUUGGAGGUAACACCAAUUAAAGUUUAUAAGGAGAUACUGUGCUAAGAAGGCGCGAAUGAAGCAAAGACAGGAAAUUAGUCUCGAAGAGCUCCAAUGAGGCCCAAUAGAAGGAAAUGGAAAUUACAAGUUCGAAACACAAACUCCAAUGGUGGAAACAAAUAUGGGUUAGGGGCGUUAAAAAGGCCAAGUUGUGAGCUAACUGAGCCAAGUUCAAAACAAAAGAAGAUGAAAGUGACUAGCCUACCCAAAUUAGAAACAAAGCAAUAUCAGCUAAAUUCACCAGUGGCAAAACUCAAUUUGAGCUGGGAACUGUUGGCAAUUAAGGGAAUAGAAAUUGCAGACUCAAACAUAGAAGAGAUAUCGGUGGAGGCUGGCGAUCAAGAAUGCUAGAAGCCAUGAAAAUCCUCAGCUGGAAUGUUUAGGGUUUAGGGAAUUCCCGGAUGUUCCUAGCAAUGCAACAAAUUCUCCAAAUUCAUAGACCUCAACUUGUGUUUUUGAGUGAGACAAAGUUGCAAUCUAUGCAAAUGGAUACGAUUCGUAGUAAGCUAAAUUUUGAUAGCUGUUUUGCUGUGGAUAGUAGUGGAAGGGGAAGAGGUCUUGCAAUGCUUUGGAACUUUGAAAUUUGUGUGCAUAUUAAGUCAUUUAGCAAGCACCACAUUGAUGCUGAACAACAAAUGGGCAAUGAAAAGCAAAUGCGAUGUACAGAGGUGUAUGGACAUCCGGAGAUGCAGCAAAAAAAGCACACAUGGACAUUGUUGAGACGGCUAUUAGGUUUAUCUUCCACACCUUAGUUAUGUUUCGGUGAUUUUAAUGAAAUUUUACACCUAUAUAAGAUGAAUGGUGGCAAUGAUAGAAAUCCAAACCAAAUUAGUGACUUCAGAAAAGCCUUGAGAGAUUGGAAUCUAAAGGAUGUGGGCUACAUGAGAUAUCUAUUUACAUAGGAUAAUGUAAUAUUUGGCCCUGACUUUGUGGAAGAAAGAUUAGACAGAUUUUUAUGCAAUGAGGCUUGAAGUGAGAGAUUUAUUGAAUAUGUAGCUGCUAAUCUCGAGAGUUGGAUAUUCGAUCACAACCCAGUGUUGAUGGAUGUUCAGGAUAGAGGUAAUGACUUGAAUUAUCAAAGAAGGAGAACUUCACGAAUCCAUUAUUAAGAUAUGUGGAGUUCAUAUGACACCUGUAAAAGUAUAAUUGAAGAAGAAUGGCAUAAACAUGGAUGCUGGAACAUUGAUGAUCCCAUACAUUUAUCCCAGAAGGCGACUAAAGAUUCCAUGGCUACUUUGACUUUGUGUAGUAAGGAAGAAUUUAAAGGGAGAGAAAAUAAACUGAAGAAGUUGAAAAAACAGUUGUAGAGCUUAAAGGAAAAAAAGGUGCAGUAUGAAUUUGAGGAUGAAAUUAAAUGGGUGGAGAGACAUAUUCAUAACAUAUUGGCCGAUGAAGAGAUUUUCUGGAAACAGCAAUCGAGAGCGGAUCGGCUUAAAGAGGGGGAUAAGAACACUAAGUUUCUCCAUCAUAAAGCCUUAUCGCGGAAGAAAAAGAAUAGAAUAUGGGGAAUUGAAGAUGAAACAAGAAGAUGGAUUGAGAAUGUGGAAGAAAUGGAGUAUGAGUUUUGCACUUAUUUCACAAAUCUGUUCACCACAUCCAGACCGAGCUAGAACCAAAUAGCAGCAGCUCUUUCAAGGAUAACACUAAGGCUCUCAAAUGACAUGAACGAGAAAUUGGACAAGCCUUUCUCAACAGAGGCAGUUGUUGAAGCCUUAGCACAGAUGUGUCCAACAAAGACUCUAGGGCCUGAUGGGUUGCUAGCAGUCUUUUAUAAAAAAACAUUGGAAAACGAUUAAAUCCGGAGUUAUCACUACUUGAUGUGCCAAGCAUAUAUCUUAAGUGUUCAAAAGUUACUGUAGAUUGUUGGGCACCUGCCUUUAAGCUUUCACUAAUAUUAAGUCAAAUUGGCAGUUCAGUAUGAUCCACAGCAUAUAUAUUUGACCUAAAUGUCUCCUGCUCGAAUAUUUUCGAAUACAAAUUAAAUAUAAUUUGCACAUAAUUGUAUGAGUUGUUUGGAUUUAAUUCACGUGACAUAUCUAAAGAAGACUUGUGAAAAAGAAUGAAUGAUAUACCAAACUCAAAAAUGAUUUUUUAGUUUAAUUCAUGAGUCAAGACUAACAUAUUAUAGUUUCAUUUUUAUUCUUUUUUGGAUCAAGUACUUAUAUAUUCUCAGUUCAAGCAGCUUUAAUCUUGCAUUGCACGGCUAAAAGUAUAGUAUACUGUACACUAGUUUAUGAAUAAAUAAAAUGUAUGUAUCAUUAAUUUUACUAUCAUUUUUUCCGUAAAUUAUUCAUCAUUUGGUAAUUAUAAUUAUCAUAAACUUGAUCUCCUUCUUUGUUAUAGGGUUGUGAUGCAUCAGUGUUAUUGGAUGGAAGUGACAGUGAGAAGUUUGCCGCGCCUAACCGGAACUCAGCACGAGGAUUUGAAGUUAUUGACGCAAUAAAAACUGCCGUGGAAGGUCAAUGCAGUGGAGUUGUAUCAUGUGCUGAUAUUUUAGCCAUAGCUGCAAGAGAUUCAGUGCUCUUGGUAAGUUGGUUGAUUAAUUGUUCUUCUCAUAUAGAUUCCAUGGGACUAAAAGAAAUAGAGACGUGAGAAACUUGAGACCUUGUUUGAUAUUGGGAUUUCAUAUUUUUUAAGCCACAGCUACUAUAGAAAAAAGUAGCAACUAUAGAAUAAAGGUUGAUAAUGUAUAGUAAAUAUAGUUUUCAAUAAUAAUUUUGACAAAAACAAUAGAGAUAUUAUAAAAUUUUCAUCAUAAUAAUUUGAGACAAAAUUAUCUUAAUUUUAAAGUCACUAGAACAAUUGUUUACCAAAUACUUUAGUAUUGUGUCUUAAAAGAUAGAACUGUUGAACUAAAUUAUCAAGCAGGGACUAAGUCAUCUUAGUUCACAGGAUUCUACCAAUUAAUAGAUAAAGAUUUUUUUUUUUCAUAUUCUAAUGGUAUGAGAAAAUUAAAAUUUUCUCUUUAUAUUUGAACUUUAUGAGGUUAACUUUUACUUAUACAAAUACUAUGACAAUAUUUUGCAGAGUGGAGGACCUACAUGGAAAGUUCUGCUGGGAAGAAGAGAUGGACUGGUGGCAAACCAGACAGGUGCUAAUGCUCUUCCUUCACCGUUUGAGGGGCUAAACAUUCUCACUGCCAAGUUUGCAGCCGUGGGUCUAAAUAUUAAAGACCUAGUGUCCUUGUCAGGUAAUUUAUUUGACCUCUCUAUCACCAUAUAUUUGUAUCAACUCAUAACUAAUUAGCCUUCGUUCGGGAUCACUUUAAAUCGUAAAGUAAUGACAUUCUAUAUAAAUUUGGCUCCUCUACUAGUUUAACUUAUUUAAAAUUAUUAAAAUAAGAAAAUUAUCAUUUAUCUAUCCGAAAUUUUCUCAAUGUUUGAAAAAUAUCCCAAAAGUUUGCAUUAGGAAUCCCAGGACCCCUUUUUGAACUCCCAUAAUGUGCGAGCUUGGUAAUUUUAAUGUUUAUGUGCAGGUGCUCAUACAAUUGGAUUCGCAAAAUGUGCCUUCUUCAGCAAUAGACUAUCCAACUUCUCAGGAACAGGUGCUCCAGACGCUACAAUGGACACAAGCUUGGUGUCCGAAUUGCAGAGCCUAUGUGCGAACGGGGACGGAAACAAUACGACGCCGCUUGAUCGGAACUCGAUUGAUCUAUUUGACAACCAUUACUUCCAGAACUUGAUCAACAAUAAGGGCCUUCUUAGUUCUGAUCAAAUUCUAUACUCUAGUGAUGAGGCCAAAUCAACUACUGAGAGUCUUGUUGAAAGCUAUAGCAGCAACUCAAAUCUUUUCUUUGCUAAUUUUGUUAAUUCUAUGAUCAAAAUGGGGAAUGUAAGUCCACUCACUGGGACUAAUGGUGAGAUUAGGAAGAACUGCAGGGCAGUUAAUUCCUUAACUGAGAUAUGAUUUUAUGCAAGAAUAUACUCAACUUUGCCAUGGUGAAGUUACUGUAUAUCUAAUGUCUGUGUAUUUGUAUGUGAGUGCGUGUGUUUUCUUUCUUUUUUUUCUUUUUCUUUUUUUGGGUGUUCGUUAUGCUGGUAAUAUGUAGUCUACUAUGAAUAAGGUUGUGAUCUCAAUAACAUUUUUUGUCUUUUAAAUUUUUAAUAAAAUUAUUCUCCUACUUUUUCUGUCUAUGAUUGUUCGACACUUUUUUUUAAUUGAUUCAUCUUUAAUUAAAUUAUAAUUCCUUUAGAGUGAAACAUAUUUAACAAAUUUGAAUUCUUGUCAUAUUUACCUUUUAUCCAAUCGAAUUAUAAUGCACGUGUUGAAUGAAUUCCAAGAAAUAUACGUGUGGCAUCUCUUUCUCCUGUUUUUUUUUUUUUGGUUUUGACCACGAGGUAUCUUGGGGAGGGCCCCAACUGUGAGAGGCAUUUUUAAGCCCGUACCACAACCCAGACUAGAAGUCCCCGCUCGAAUCGAGAGGCACAGGUUCUCCCAACAAAGGUGACUUCCCUGCGACUCGAACUGGGGAGCAAACCCAGUCAAUUCUCCUGUUUUUUUUUCCCAAAGCGAAAUAACUUCUUUCAUAAGUUUUUCCUUGUUUUUCUCCUUUUCGUUUUUUUGUUUUUGUUUUUUUUGUUUUUUAACCUCUUUAGGGUACAUUGAAAGAGCAUAAAUUAUGAUUUGGGUGCAAAGAAAUUUAAUUUUCUUUGUUAAAAAAAUAAUAAUAAAAAAGUCAAAUAGCUGAUAACGUCAGAAUUCAAAGUAACACUCACGGAAACAAUCUUGCUAAAUCAAAUAUGGCAUUUUGCAUUGCUUUAGCUAAGGUCUUUCAAUCAUUCUUAAAGCAGACAAUCAAGGCAAAUCAACAGAGUCCUCAAACGGCUAGUUCAUUGAGGAAAUCAUGGAGAUAAAUUGCAAAUGAAAGAUUACCCAAUUAGUCCCUUCUUUUUUUCCAGAAUAAUUCAUGUUAUUUUAAUUUUCUUUUCAAUGAUCACUCUCUUGUAUAUAUAAAGGAAGUAUUGUAUAAAUGAUCAAACUAAGAAAUCUUCUCUUCAAACACUCACUCUUCAAAGCUUUUAUAUAAUCUUGUCACAAAUCAUGUGGAGCCUGCCAAAUCAUUUCCUCACCCUCAACUUCUCCCUCCUUUCUCAGCUUCCUCUUACGAACCGAACUUGCUUUGGCUCUCACUGUCGGAAAAGCAAAUGAUUCUUUAUUUUAUUAGAUCUUCUAAUUUGCUUUCGUUUAAGGACAAAUUUCUCUCGAUCGGUUUAGAUAUGUGGUGGUUGUUAUUAUUUUUUUCAAAGUUUUAUUUUUAUUUAAGUAUUUAGAAAUCUAUAGGCACCUGUUGAUUUUUUUUCCCCCAAGAAGCUCUAGUAUGUAUAAUAUGUAUGAUAUCAAAUGGCAAAACCUACUAUGAUGACCUAUUAUUACGAUGCAAGGCGUCUUAAAUAAGCUGAAGAAGAUCCUCUCAUAAUGAAGCAUUUGCACAUUUGAUAGAGGUGUCAUUUAAUUGAGAGAAUAUUCAAGACAGGAUAAAUCAAAAUUUUUGGGCUACUAUUAUGAUUGCUAAGCCUUGGCAAUCUUCAGUUUUAGAUUUUCUUUCAAUGAUUUACCUAACUCUUAUACGAGUGGACUCACACUAUAUUACUAGACAAUUUAGUUGUGCUAAAUUAGAUUGGAUGUGUACAAAUUGAGGACAAAAAUAUGGCAAAAGGGCUAAUAAACAAAUCAUUUACUUCAAUUAAUUUUAUUGUAUAUAUUAAUAUACAUAUGUCAUUAUUCAGAUCCCAAUUUUGUACAUUUGUCCUUUGUCAUUGCUUCUUGUCUGAUACAAGGCAUGAGGUCCACCUAAAAUUCACAGGGGCUUGCUUCCGUACUUCUCGUACUAUUGUGUCAAACGAUUUCUCUAACGGCAAGUAUAAUCAUUGUUCUCGACUUUCUUUUUCGUAAUUUUAAACGAUUUCAAUAAUAAUGCUUAAAGCACGCAUCUCAUUAAAUUGGAAUCAAUAAGCCAACACUUUUGACUUUAGUGAAAGAGAUUCCAUAAAGGACAAGAGAAGUGCUAUGUCUGAAGAAAGGAAUUGAUGUUCAAUAUGAAUUUAUUCGAAUCUCUCUCUCUCUCUCGCUCUCACUCCAUAUGUAUAUAUAUAUAUAUAUAUAAACCAAUUUAUACAGUGGACUAGAUCGAUCAUAUAUAUCAUUGUGUUUGUUCAUCCACAACUAAUACAGAGGUCACACAGAAAGCGAUGUGAGUAUUCAAUUUUUUUGUCUUAACUUUUGUGUUAAUUAUCUAAUUAAUUUAUACACACAUUACGUUGAUAUAUUUUUUGUGUUCUUGAAGGAUUACUCCUUAUCCAUUCAUUAUAAAUAUAUGUGUAUCAAUAUUAUCAAAAUUUCUUGAAACAUACACUUGGCAAGGAGCGGAUAGAAAAUGAGCUGAGCACCCAACUAAAAUUUUUCCAAGCGAGUGUUGUUUAUUUCAUUAUUCUUCUUUUAGCAACCGAUUGAAUAUAUGCGGAUGAUAGGGAGCAAGCUCAAGAGCAUGUAUCAAUUGAAGUGGAGAAAUUAGCAGAUUCUUUCAGUAGGGAACUGAAGCCAUUGCAUCCCUUAUCCGGAAAGUGUUCCAUCUACAGAGUUCCUGAGACACGCGGCGUCUACAUCCAAGUGAUUACACUAAAAAAUGAUCUCAAUUGGCCCGUUUCAUCAUGGAAAGGAACAGCUAAAAGCCAUGGAAGAGCACAAAAAAGGAUACCUAACAUACUUUCUUCAACAACUAAGGUACGCAUGGCAAGUUUCUUUGCAUUUAUUAAGGAAAGGGAAGCAAAAUUGCGCAAUUCUUAUGCAGAAACCAUUCCUCUUAAUUGCAAUGAGUUGGCAAAAAUGGUUUUAGUGGAUGCUGUCUUUCUCAUUGAGCUCUUUCUUAGAUAUUUUGAACCUUAUUUGAGAACUGACGAUGAUCGCAUAAUUGGAAAAUCGAAUUUGUACUUGGAAAUACGGCACGACUCUCUGCUGCUACAAAAUCGGCUUCCACCAUUCAUUCUCAAUGACCUCAAUGACUUGUUUAAUGUUAGCCAAAACAGCAACCAAUCAAAAUGACUUUGUUGAGAAGUGAACCACAAAUCUGGAAUUGUGGUUAAAUAUGACAUGUCAAUCUUGUGUUCCAAGAUUGGAAGAUAUGUCGGUUGAGUAGCAAAAGGGAGACUUAUGACAAGCCUGGUAGAUCAGCCAAGUGAAUAAGUUAAGCACAUGUUGAGGCACAUGACUUCACGUAUUCUAAACGGCAAAGAAAGGUUGCGUUUUGGAUGAAGCUGCAACACGUGUUUUUUAGGCUGGUUUAAACAACUGUUAGUGCCAACCAAAGUUGGUUGGUGUGAGUGGUCUGUCACUCUCACUUCUUAAGAAAGGUCAGGGGUUCAAACCCCGCUCUCGUAUGAAGUCACCAUUUUGGCUAGUAUUUUACUCCUUACAAGCUAAUCCAGUGCGAGCGGAGAUUAAUCUGGAUUGUGGUACUAGCUUAAAGAUGCCUCCUACAGUUGGGCUCACUCAAAACCACCUCGUAGUUCAGACAAAAAAGAAAAAACAACUGUUAAUGCCAUUAAUAGAAGCGGGAAAAUUCUGGGUUUGUUACUAACAAACCCAGGGAUGUAACACUGGCUUCUGGGGGUUGUUUCUAGAGCAAUCUAGGCGUGUAUAUAAGGCUUCAUGGUCUCGGUUUUGGCUAGCCUUAGUGUAUGACAGUUUCUCAGAUUGCUUGUAUCUUGAAAACACCAAAUCAGUGAAAGUUCUUUCUCUCUUUUACAGUGGAUGUAGGUCACCUGGUGGCUGAACCAUUAUAACUCUUCUGUGUUCGUGUGUGAUUGUUUUUGCUCUUCUUUAAGCUUGCUAUCUGUUGAUUCGAAUCUGUGGUUUCAUAAAGUUUUAGUAGAUCAUAGUUGGUUCUUUGAUUAAAGCUAAUUCGAGUGGAUCUUGGGGGAUCAAGAUCGGUUAUUUGCUGAUCUUGGUCCAACAGACUUGUACAGAAAAAUUCCCUUUAUUGCAAUUACCUGUUAUUGGUUCCGUGCAGAUAUGCUUCAAUUUCUUCCAAUACAGGAGAACUUGUUAGAAAUCCACUUUUUCAGAGCACAGCAUUUUGUUGACUUGCUUAUACUCUGUCUUCCGCCAUCCCAGCCGCGUGCCAUAAUUGAAUUGAAAGAUCAAAAGAUACCCAGUGUAAAGUAACUUCACCAAGCCGGAGUCAAGUUUCAAACGGAGUCAAGCAAAAAUCUACUUGACAUUAAAUUUAAUCAAGGAAUUCUGGAAAUUCUAUCUCUAACGGUAUAUUUUCAUGACACAAAGCCUUUCUACAGGAAUCUUAUAGCUUUUGAGAGGAUGCAUGGCUACCCUUUAUAUUUUAAUGACUGCAUUAUAGUGAGGUGUUACCUCGUCAGCACUCCAAACGAUACGGAAUUACUCAUUCAAAAUGAAAUUAUUAGGCUUGGGUACAGUGAACUACUUCCAACUAUUCUUAGCAGCCUUUGUAAAGGCUGUUCAGGAAGUGGUUUAUAUACAUACAUACAUGUAUGUAAUAAUAUAUGUGUGUGUGUAUAUAUGUAUGUAUGUAUGUAUGUAUAUAUGUAUGUGUGUAUGUAUGUGCGCGCGCGUGUGUAUGUAUUUGCUUAUGGACUUACACUCAUUGAAUUCAACGUAACAGGUAAUAGGGAAGUUGAGGAGAUGAAUAUCGAUGCAUUGAAUAAUCUUUGACAGUACAAUUAGUACGUACGUGGUUAGGUUCUAACUACAAAUACAAUAACCAGCCUUAACGUUUUCUUCAAAAUCCGGGAGGCCUCGACAUCAUCAGCUGCUGCAAUGGUUGCAUGCGGGAAGCCAAAAUCUCAGUUGUAGUCGCGUGACCAGUUUUAUAAAUCAUGGAGGUUGCCGAUUUGGCAGAGUUGAUGAUCAUGUGAUCAUUGUUAGUUCUUUGCAUCUCACAUUUGAAGCACGAACAUAAUUGCCCAUCAUUCGGUACCUCAGAAUAUGUCAAAGAACGUCCUUGCAUUGUGACUGUGGCAGUAGGGAACGCAACGGCUUCAAAAUUAUUGCAAAGAAGAGGCACCGAUCGAGGAACAAAAUGGCAACUCCGGAAGAAAGGAUGUUCCAAAGCUUCCGCAGCCGUAGGCCUCAUGUGUGGAUUCCAGGAACAAAGCCGUGAAAUCAAGCUGAUGGAUUCUCGACUAGCUGAUGGUGACAACUCACGCAGAUUCACACCACCCAUCUGCGGGAACUUCCAGUCGAGAUUGCUCGCGAGUUGAAUUCCAAGAGGCCAAGAAUCCUCGGUGGGGCUACCAAUCACUUGGCUGAAUUGAAAGAUCAAAAGAUACCCAGUGUAAAGUAACUUCACCAAGCCGGAGUCAAGUUUCAAACGGAGUCAAGCAAAAAUCUACUUGACAUUAAAUUUAAUCAAGGAAUUCUGGAAAUUCUAUCUCUAACGGUAUAUUUUCAUAAGACAAAGCCUUUCUACAGGAAUCUUAUAGCUUUUGAGAGGAUGCAUGGCUACCCUUUAUAUUUUAAUGACUGCAUUAUAGUGAGGUGUUACCUCAUCAGCACUCCAAACGAUACGGAAUUACUCAUUCAAAAUGAAAUUAUUAGCUUGGGUACAGUGAACUACUUCCAACUAUUCUUAGCAGCCUUUGUAAAGGCUGUUCAGGUAGUGGUUUAUAUACAUACAUACAUGUAUGUAAUAAUAUAUGUGUGUGUGUGUGUGUGUGUGUAUGUAUGUAUGUAUGUAUGUAUAUAUAUAUGUGUGUGUGUGUAUUUAUGUGUGUAUGUAUGCGCGCGCGCGCGUGUAUGUAUUUGCUUAUGGACUUACACUCAUUGAAUUCAACGUAACAGGUAAUAGGGAAGUUGAGGAGAUGAAUAUCGAUGCAUUGAAUAAUCUUUGACAGUACAAUUAGUACGUACGUGGUUAGGUUCUAACUACAAAUACAAUAACCAGCCUUAACGUUUUCUUCAAAAUCCGGGAGGCCUCGACAUCAUCAGCUGCUGCAAUGGUUGCAUGCGGGAAGCCAAAAUCUCAGUUGUAGUCGCGUGACCAGUUUUAUAAAUCAUGGAGGUUGCCGAUUUGGCAGAGUUGAUGAUCCAUUGAUCAUUGUUAGUUCUUUGCAUCUCACAUUUGAAGCACGGACAUAAUUGCCCAUCAUUCGGUACCUCAGAAUAUGUCAAAGAACGUCCUUGCAUUGUGACUGUGGCAGUAGGGAACGCAACGGCUUCAAAAUUAUUGCAAAGAAGAGGCACCGAUCGAGGAACAAAAUGGCAACUCCGGAAGAAAGGAUGUUCCAAAGCUUCCGCAGCCGUAGGCCUCAUGUGUGGAUUCCAGGAACAAAGCCGUGAAAUCAAGCUGAUGGAUUCUCGACUAGCUGAUGGUGACAACUCACGCAGAUUCACACCACCCAUCUGCGGGAACUUCCAGUCGAGAUUGCUCGCGAGUUGAAUUCCAAGAGGCCAAGAAUCCUCGGUGGGGCUACCAAUCACUUGGCAGAUUUUGUAAAUUUGAUCAGCUGAAUUUUUUCCCGGAAAAAGAAUCCUGAAACUCAACAUCUCGAACAUAAUAGCACCCAUCGCCCACAUAUCCACUUCAGGUCCAUAUAUCUCGGAUAAAAGUAACACUUCAGGAGCUCGAUACCAGCGAGUUGUAACAUAAUCAGUGCACGGCAGACUGGAAUCAAUUUCCUUCACCAUUCCAAGAUCCCCUAUCUUGAUCACACCUUUCGAAACAAGCAAGUUGGAAGGCUUUAGGUCACGGUGAAAAUAACCCUGUCGGUGCAUGUAAUGGAGACCUUGAAACACUUGGAAACACAAGUUUCUGACUUCAUCUUCAGAGAAAUUUUGACCCGCUCUUUCUUUCAUAAGUUUUAGAAGAUCAGAUUCCAUGUACUCGAACACAAUGAAUACGUCUUCGUGUUCUUUGACAAGAUUCCUCAAUUUGACAAUGUUGGGAUGAUUAUUCAUCUUCCUUAAACAUUUAACUUCUUUCAAGUUCCUGCUCUCGUCCAAAGAAAAAAUCUUCUUCUUCAAUUUCUUGACAGCAACAAAUUCACCACUCUUUUUAUCAAGAGCCUGAAACACGUCGCCGUAACUCCCCGACCCAAGCUCCCUGAUCUUUUCGUAUUGCUCCAUUUUUUUUCAGUGCGAUAUAUGGAACCAAAUUUUUUUCUGUACGGAUAUUUAUAAUGUGACAAUAACUUGCCGUACUGAAUUAGGGAAUAGUUUCCUAUUCCCAUUAUAUAUAUAUAUAUGUAAUAACAAUUACCCUAAUUGAAUAGGAAACUAGUUUCGCAAAUGAAAUUAAAACUGUAGUAGGAAACGCGUACCAGAACCGCAUUAGGAAAAGGUUAUAUUAGUAAUUUUACAUAUAUUAUUAAUUAUCUAAGUACAUUAAUUUUUUUUUAAUUUAACCAGAUAGGCUGGUUAAUUUAGAAACUACUGUAAUAUAAGUUACGUAAAUACAUCAAAUUAACCAAAUAGGCGAUUAUGAAUUUAACAGUUUCCCCCUUUUUUUAAUUUUCUUGUUGUGUUGCCGGUGUUCGCUAAAAGAAGAGACUGCCAAAACCAAUAAUGAGAAAUGUUGGUCAAAAAAUGUUAUCAUAAGAGUUCAUGCAUGAUUUCAUUUGAUCCAAUUAAUGAACAUAUUGAGAAGUAAAAUUGGGAAAAUCUUUUAUUGCAGUCUUAUUACAUACUUAUUCAAGAAAUCACAGAAAACACAAAACCUGCACACUUAUAAAUAGAAACACACAAUCCAAUGUUUUUUGUACGAAAUUAGGAUAUGUAAUAUCUCACAGUGCUUGGAAGGAUGUAAAUGAUCAGCUCAUAAGGAAUUGCAUCCUUUGAUUAGCAAUUUGGGUGGACUUAAGCCCAUACCAAGAUCAAAACCGCAAAUGUCAUUUAUGAUUUUUGUUCCAAAUGUCAUUUAUAUUAUUCAACAUUGUUCAUUUUAUAUUGUUGUUUUAUCAAUAUCCUCCUAUUUUUAUUUUCUGUGUCACUUGACAUAUACGAUGACAAUCUAUCUUUAUUAUUUUUUAAUACCAUUAAUGCUAAUGUUGAAAUAUAGGUAGGGAUGGCAAUGGGGAGGGGAGGGGAGGGGACCAAUCUCCCUGUACCCAUUGUCGAUAUUUUGCGUAUGUCCCCGUUCCCUUCCCGUCCCCAUCAGAAUUACACGUAAAAUAUACAUACACAUAAUUUAUCAGGGAAAAAAGAAUUUACUUCUUUUGAGUUUUAGCAACCUUCAAAAUCUUCCUUGAAAAUGUCAUUAUUUAUUAUUAUUUUUUUUUCUAAUAUCGUACAUGUACUCUUAGAUUUACACAAUUUUUAUCAAGGAUGAGUGUAACAACCAACCUAAAAUAAGAACAAUGCUAUUAAUGGAAACAAAUCAUUGCAUUAGUGAACUUGGACGGUUGGGUACAACAAAAACAACCAGAGACAUAAGUUUAUAAAUUCUCUUAGCUGCAAAAAAAAGCAACCUUAAACUUAUUUACAUCGUCGGACAAACCGUAUUAACCGGCUCAUCACUAUCCGUCCAUCCCGCUCCAAGAAAUUUAGCUUUUAAAAAAUAUAUCUGCUGUACCGUACAUCCGCCUUGGCCGUACAGCAGAAUGAAUAUUAAAAUUAAAACAAAUUUUUGGGCUAAUAGAAUCUAUCCAGUCUUUUUAAUGUCCUAAACAAAAAUUUAUGACUUUAAUUAGUUAAUUAGGCCUAAAAGUUUAAUAAUAUAAAUAUUUGAUAUUUGUUCUUUUUACCAAUUUUUAUAAUUUUAUAAUUCAAAUUUUAUUAUUUAUUUACUAGUAAUUUUAAAAAAUUAAAAUUAAAAUUAAAAUGGGGAAAUGGGUAGGGGAUGGGGAUUCCACCUCAUCCCCAUCCCCUCCCCGAAUAAGAAAUUGGGUAAAAAAAUUUUCUCGUGCCUUCCCCGAAUAAAAAAUUAGGUAUAAAAUUAUCCUCAUACCCUCCCCGAAUGGGGAAAAUCCCCCCCGACCCCAUGGAGAUUUUGCCAUCCCUAAAUAUAGGUGAUGAAAGAGAGGAUUUGGGGCGAAUUUUUAUUCGUUAAUAUCAAAUAUUUGCCAAUUGGAUUUUUUUCAGAAUCCGACUCUUCAAUUCCACUCCCCGGGAAAAUUGAGAGAUCUUGGAGAAUUGGACUAAGAAGUUUUCACUUGUUAGUUCAUAAAUUUGAAGAGAGUCUGUUCAGUCGAAUAUCAAUUAAGGAAGAAGAUGAUGUAUUGAACAAAUAGGCCAAGAUUCUUUUCUGAAAAAAUAUGAUAAUGGUGCUUUGUUUCAUACCGUCGGAUUCAUAUUUUGGCAAAAAAAUAAAUUGUUUCAAAGCUUUCGGCAAACUAAUGAAAAUAAAAUCACAGCGUACUUGGUAAUGAUGAUCCUUGAAUUUUUACCAAAUUUUGACAUUGAUGGACUUGAAAUUUUUACUUAUAUGUGGUUUUGUAACUAUAGGAAACUAAGAAUUUUUAUAUCUUAGUAACAAAAUUCGGAGUUGGUGUUAAUUUUUUGGUCCAAUAGCUUCUAUCAUUUUCCAAGUAUUCAUAGGGGAAAUACAAUGGAAUAGGAGGAAUGCAUUCUGAAAUUACAAAUUAUAAAUUGGGACUUUAUAAAUAACAAUGAUUAUAGUUAAAACAAUGUUAUACUAUUUAAAAUAGUGAUUACAGUAAUGAGAUAAGAAAGAAAAUAUGUUAUAAAAAUAGAAUGUAAAUCAAGGCCUCGUGUAGGGUGGGCAAAAAAGUUAGGGUCGGCCCAACUUAGGGUCAUGGGCUUUAGGCCCAGCUUGUUUCAUGAUGCCAUGGACAUGGGUAAAAAAAUUUAAAGCUAGUUGUGAAUGGGCUUAGUUAAUGGUUGUAUUUGAUUAUUUAUCGAUUAUGUAUUGGAUAAUCAUUACUAAUUUAAAUAUUUUAUUUUUAACUUUUUGCUUUAUUAAAAAUUUAUUUAAAAAAUUAAUGGAAGCACAAGUCCAGUGCAGGCUCAGAUUGUCCAAGUUUGGAUAGACUUUUAGAGGGUGUGGACCUAUUACUAAUAACAUGGACUUAGACAUGAGCUUGAAAAAACUCAGCAUAAACUCGUAAUUUGUCAUCCUUACCUGCAUAAUAUUAUAGCUUCAUUAAAACAAAUUUGCCUACUGCUCUCAAGUGCUUUAGGAUUUGAAUAGCGCCUAUUUUCCAAGAGACAAUGGUAAUGAAUAAUUCAGGUGCACCAAGAGGUUAUUGUACAAAAAACUUCCAGUGUGUCUAAACUUUAUGAAAAUUGGAUCUCCGACAAAGGAGGCAUUGAAGUUUUUCUCUUCUUAUUCUUCUAUCCUUAUUUGUCUUAUAUUGUUCCUAGCCACUUUUUUGAAAUGAUGAAGAAUGUCAAUUCAUAGAAUUGUAUGAGAGGCAUUUUUAUCCACAAAUUUGACUGCUAAAAUUUUGUAACUGAUGUAUUUAAUUUCUUAUUAUUAAGUACCGUAGCUAAUUAAAAGUAUAACUGUUGCUCGUUAAACCUUUUAUUUAACUCUUAAAUUAAAUUCAAAAUGUAACUGCGGCUUCAUUAACCACGUCUUAAAUUCGGGAUUUAAUCUCAUAUUAAAAUAUAAAUUUAAUUGGGUAUUAUAAAUUCUGAAUUACUUGGCAGUUAAAAGUGAUAUAUUCUGGAAUUGAUUUCGUAAUUAAUUUUAAAUUUAACUAGCUGUUAUUCACCCAAGCAUCAUUUUAAAUAUAAAAGUACACCUUAUUAUCUUUCACUUAUACAAAGUACAUCCACUCAAAAUUAUGCUUUAAAAUAGUAAAUUAUUAUGAUACUUUUCCAACCAUAUUUGUAUGUCAAAGCAUUUUAUCAUUUUACAUUCAAACCCCCAUAUAGAGAGCUACGAAAAUUAGCUUACUGACACGUUGUCCAGCUAAAGUAAAAUAAAAAAAUUAUAAGUACAAUAUAAGGUUGAUGGUGUGUAAUUUAUGUAAUAUUUAAUAAAAAACACAAUAAACUAGUUAGUGUUGGAUAAACGAAUAAACAAGUCAUAUUCGAAUCGAAUUGUAAACAAAUUGGCUCAAAAUUUUACUGAUUUGGAUUUGAUUCGGUUAUUAAACGAAUAUUCGAUUCGAUUCGUUUAAUUUAUUUAGUAGAAUUAAUAAACGAAUCAAAUCGAAUUUGGAUUCCUUUACAAUUCGUUUAUCCUAUAAGGAAUAAAUUGAAUAUGAAUUUAUUUACAAAAAUAUAAUAGAUAAACAAAAUAAAAUAUAAAAAGAGCAUAAAUUUAACAUCUAAACAAAAUAAAAUAUAAAAAGAGAAAAGAGCAUAAAUUUAACAUCCUACAAAAUACAAACUUAUUAUCAUUUAUAAUUAUUAUAUUAGCUUUCAAACUUUAAGGUUUUUUCAUACUAAGUAUAAAUAAAUAAUUUAAUUAAAUGAAUUUAAAUGAAUGAAUUAUAUUCGAUUCGUUUAUAACUCACUUACUAAAUGAAUCCUUAAAUCAAUGAAUCAAUAUCCUAAUUAGAUCCAUUUAAUUAGCAAAUCAAAUCAAAUUCACCUAUUUAUUAAACGAAACAAUUUUUUCAAAUCCAAACCCAUUUAAUUUGCAUCGAAUCGAAUCAAAUAAACGAAUCCUAGCCCAAAUUGCCACUUCUAAAACUAGUUGUAUAAUAUUCUUACUGGCACCAAAAUCAGAUUAUUUUUUACUUCGUCAGAGGAGACAGUCCCUUAAUUGGGCCGGAUAUGUUGAUGGUUGCACAUUUGCAUCUCUUCCCAUCAAUUUUGUAUUGUUGCCAUGGAUUGAAAUUUCUUGCUUCGUUUGGGCAUCCACGCAUGUAAUUACUACUUUUAAAAGAUCCUUAUAGCCAUUUUUUAUUUAGCAACGUAAGGAACCCUGAAUCUGCGACAUCAAGUUAAUAUGUUAUUAAUGUAUGUUAAAGUAAGUUUAACUUCAUGUGACUUCUACAGAAAAUCGUCACAUUUGUUCGGGUUAACAUUAUAAACUUCUAUUGCUUUCGGGUAACUUAUUGGCAAAUUGGCUUGCAAAGCGUUUUCAGCUGCACGAUGGGUAACGUUAAAAAGAAAGGCAAAGAAAAAGUGUUAAUUAAGCAUAGCUAUCGACUUCACGUUUGUUAAUAUCAAGUUUUAACAACGGAUGUGUUCGAUCAACUUACAGAACAACUAUUGAUAAAUUGAAAUUCACAAAAAUUUGAUACAAGUCAAGGAUUAACGAUGCCAAAUAGGUUAUUAUUUGAUUCAUUUCAUUGAAAACUUGACGUCAUGAAGAGCAAAGCACCCCUAUAAUCUUUGGAGAGCGGACAUAACUUUUCCUAUAUCGUGUCAAAAUCCUCAUCUGUCUAUUUAAUUAUGUUCUGAGAAUUCUGUUUAUUUACUUAGAAAACAGAGAGAAUUUAUUGAUUGAGAGAAAUUAGAAACCAAAAAAUAUUCAUUCCACAUACUGUAAUUUGAGAUUACAAUGCUCUGCAUAUGGUUGUGUGUACAAUCUUCUAAAAGCAACAAACUUGUGUGCUCACAUGCACCUAUACAUAACGAACUUUUAGAGGGAAACUAUAGCUUUCAACAAUAUGCAUAAUGACCUUCCAACGUGGAUAUUCAGCAACGAUACUAUGCAGCUCAGCUCUGAUGAAUCGGCACUUAAUUCUUAACACACCCCCGUAAUCUCAAGGUCUUGAACAGACAUUGAGCUUAGUUCUCAUUAAGCAAAGUGGUCAAAACUAAGAGGCCUUGUAAGCACAUCAACUAACUGAUCAAGACUGGACACAUGUUCAAUGACCAAUUCCUUAUUUGCAACAUGUUCCCUAACAAAAUGAAGAUCCAAUUCUAUAUGCUUAGUUAUAGAAUGAUAUUUAGGAUUGUUUGCUAAAGUUUCUGCAGUUUAUUAUCAGAGUGAAGAACAUGAGACUUGUUGAGUGAUACUUGAGUUCCUUUAAAAGACAAGUGAUCCACAAAAUUUUAAAUGUGGCUAAUGCUAAAGCUCUAUAUUCAGAUUCAACAAUUGAUUUAGAGAUAAUAUUUUGUUUCUUAGAUGACCAGGACACAAGAUUAGUUCCAAGAUAAACACAAUAUCCUCCAAUAGAUCUUCUGUCAUUUGGAUCAGACCCCCAAUCUACAUUAGAAUAGGCUAUCAAGGUUAGGGAACUUGAGUUGAAGAACUGAAGUCCAAAAUGUGCUAUACUUUGCAAAUAUCUCAGCACUCUUUUACAGGCCUGCCAGUGUAAAGUAGUUGGAGCAGUAAAAAACUGGCUUAACUUAUUGAUUGUAAAUGCAAUAUCUAAACUGGUCGGUGUUAAGGAUUGUAGAGAACCAACAAUGCUUCUAUAAAGUGAAUGAUUUUCAAACAUACAAUUUAUCAACAACACUUGUAGGCGUGUUACAACCUUUACUGUCAAACAUGUAAGCUUUCCUUAAGAUAUCUCCAACAAACUUAGUUUGAGAUAGAUGUAGGCCAUCAAUAGACGGAGUUACUUCUAAUCUAAGAAAAUAUUUGAAAUCCCCCAUGUCUUUGAGAGCAAAUUCUAAUCCAAGCUGAUUAAUAACCUCUGUUAUAUGAGCAUUGCUUAAACCUAUUAUCAGAAUAUCAUCCACAUAGACAAGAAUAAUUAUAAUAUCACCUCUAAUAUGCUUGAAAAAUAAGGAAGUAUCUAACUUGGAAGACCUGAAUCCUCAUUGAAUUAGAUCCUUUUAAUCUAUCAUACCAAGCCAUGGGGGCUUGUUUAAGGCCAUAAGGGUUUUAUUCAACUUGCAAACAUGAUUGGGAAAUUGAGGAUUAAUAAAGCCUUCUACCUAAAGCAUGAACACAUCUUCAGUAAGUAGGCCAUUUAAAAAAGCAUUAUCGACAUCUAAUUACCGUAUAGGCCAAUGAUUCAUGAUUGCCAAGUUGAGAACAAAUGGAACAGUGCAGGGUUACAACAGGACUAAAUGUCUCAAAGAAAUCUACUUUAUAAUUUUGAUGAAACCCUUUUACAACUAGUCGAGCUUUAUACUUUGAAAUGCCAUCAUCUGGGUUGUAUUUAACUUGAAAAACCCACUUAUUUCCAACAAGUUUGGUGGCUAUCUCAGCUGGAACCAAUGUCCAAGUAUCAUUUCUCUGCAAAGCAUUAUAGUUAUCUUGCAUAGCCACAUGCCACUUUUAAAUAUAUACAAGCUUGAGAUGUGCUAGAGUUUGUUAAAAAAAUUUAGAAUCGGGCCAAGCUAGCACUCUUGGCCUAUGUUUGGGCUCUUAGCCCGAAUUCUUGGGCACUUGGGCUGAAAAUUUGGGUGGUCCACAACAUUAAGCUCAAAAUAUACUAAUACAAAACAUGGACUCCAGUAACAGGCUUGAGGAGAUGCUCAUCAAGAUAUUGCAAUGAUAGGUCUAUCACUAUAUCAUCAAGAAGCAUAAAAAAAAGAAAUUUCUAGGAUAGUCAUAUGAAUCACCAUUCUUAACUAUCUAAAUGACAAAUUAGACGGGUUUUGACCUUUUUAAAGUGUUUUAUGAAACUUAGAUUUCCCGUAUAUUAAACAAUACUAAGAUUUACAAACAAACUUGAAUCGCCAAAGAGAUUUUACAAAGAAUUUCAAUCACCAAAUCUUCAUUAUAAUGAAAAUCUUUCUUGUUACUUGUCACCAUCAUCUCCUUCUAAUCAAAUUUAAUUAAAAUAAUGGAAUACUAAAAUGAAUCAAGUUGGUUUCUCACGUUCAUUAGCAAAGAUUGAAAUUACUGAGAAUGCAUAAAUUGUGGACUGGGAAAUUCGGAGAACGUUGGCCAUUAGAAAGUAUUAAGAGCUUUUAGUUUAGUGCAAUAGAUAAUUAGCUUUUUUGGGUAAACACUCUUUUAGUAUUUUAGGUUUCGGAAAAUUAUGCAAUUAGCUUAUGAAUUUUUAAAAAUUAUUCAAACCAUCCUUAUUUAUGUCGAAAUUCACUCAACGCACUUUUUUCACUUGAAGUAGGUAAUUAGACUUGUCUGUUCUUGUUGGAAUUUAAAAGUAAAUCAGACACAACUACUUAGGUAGAAUUGCAUUAAGGAUGAAAUUUAUUAUCAAAAUUAAAAUUUAAAAAUCUGUUUGCCACUGCCUUUUUAAAAUUCUUAAAAUAUACGUACCUUGUACACUUGGCUCACAUAAAGAUAUAAAUAAAUUACAAGAUUGAUUAAUUGAAAUCGUGAAAAAGUAAAGGUCCAAAGGGAGAUAUAUUCCACGCGUAUAGCGUGCCGCAUCGUUAUUUCUAACUUAUUGAAAUCUUAAAUUCAAACCGAAUGAUUGAAAUCAUCAUCCAAAAUCAAACAAAUCUCAUGCAUGCACCAACCGAAGCCACUUUCCACGUGUAAAAUGGGCUAGUCAACUCAUACAAUUAUCAACAAUAUAUCCUCUUUCUUUGCAUCAUCUAUUUCUUUGGCAUUUAAUUUCUAUCAUUUUCUUACCGUCCAAACAGGCGCAUGCAUCCAGAUAGGUAUAUAGAUAUCUUCUCCCCACCUAACUUUAUUAGCACAAUCACGUUACAUAAGAAAAUAGUAAGCUUUGUUGGGUAAUUGGUCUUUAUUUAAUUUGAAAAGAGCUAUUUGCAUUUCUUUAUUAAUAAGAGUUUCCAAGCAUUGAAGAUUUGCCUGUAUUUGAGUGAGCAAAAGAUAUACAGCUUAGUCAUCAGAUUACAAAACAGGUUAACAAAUUUAUUGACAAGCAAACAACUAACUAAGAUCUUGUCAUUCGACAAAUUUUUAGUUUUAAGAUCAUUUAGGAAUAUUAGUACAAUAAUUGCAAUCUAAGCCAGAAAGAAAAAGACAUAUUUUGUUGACAUAAUGGCCAAAUAUAAUUUACUCAUAUCUCAAAGCUUUGAAUAAAAAGUUAACCAGAAAAUCCUGAAAUGGUUUGCCUGUGGAUAGAGAUAUUAGAUAUUCUAUAUUUAAUUUUCCUUGACGUAGGGUCAUAUGCACAAUGAAUUAUAGACAAAGAUUGUCGGCAGUCUCCCAUAUAAUAUUAUUUACACAGAUUAUGUACUUAGACGUUAUCAGUUCCUUCAAUUUCAGGUAAUUUCGUAAUCAUAUUCAUAUUAUAUUAUAGGACUCGCCUAUCGUGCAACAGUGGCACCAUGCCACUGCUUUUGUCUUUUUUGUGUAAAAUUUCAUGAAGCCCUUUCAUUUAUUCUUAUUUGAACUUUGCUUCACAAAUAUUAAGUUCAUUUCUCCCAAACCCGUGAAUCCUUCAACGGCCGAUCAACGGCAAAUCGGCUCCUCCGGUGGCUGUGGUUGGUCAGAAAAGACAGAGGGAAUUGUGGAGAACAAAACUCAAGUGGUGGCGUCACCGGAAACUGGAGAAACAGUGGCGAAUUGAAGCGGGGAUUCUGUGACUUUUCACGGCUUCGAUCGGCAGCUUUCCGAAUGCUUUACAGCGACAAGGAUGGCAUGGAGAUGACCGGCGUCAUACGAGCUUCCGAUCGGUACCAACCUUGGCCGAUGGAAUUGCCGGAAACGGAAAUAAAAUCCGGGUUGGGUUCGCGGGUCGGGUUGACCCGGUUAUUUUUGUGACAAGGAUGGUGUGGAGAUGACCGGCGUCGCUCGAUCUUCCGAUCGGUACCAACCUUCGCCGGUGGCGUGGACGGAAAUGGAAACGAAAUUCGGGUCGGGUUCGCCGGUAUUUGUGAUAAAGAGAGGGGUAUUGUGAUAAAAGUGUAAUAUAGAAGAAAAAUGUAUAAAUAACAAAUAGUAUAAGGUGCUAAUUAUAAUGUUUAUAUGGAUGCAAUAGAAAUUAAUUUAAUAUUUAUGAAGUAAAGCUUAAAUAAAAAUGAAUGAAAGGGGUUCAAUGAAAUUUUACAACACUGCUGGCACAAAAGACAAAAUCAGUGGUACAGAUACCACGGUGGUACCGUAGUAGCUGGAUCCUAUAUUAUAUACAGUUCAUGAACACGCGUUAUUCAAUCGUCUCAUUUUAAAUAUAAUUAAACUGCAAAUAAUGAUACCACAGACAUUUUUGGUUUUAGUUACAUACCAGGCUGAAUAAUAAUAAUAAUAUUAAUAAGAGCAGGAGGGGAAAGGAAAAAUUGAAAACGAUUUUUAAGCUCAGUACAAAAUUCAAGGACAGGACCGAGGAAAAAAAAAAGAAUCUUGAUGUACGUAGGACAUGCAUUUUGUGGGGGAAAUAACUAAUUGAGUUACAAUACUCAUAUAAUAUGUUAAGUCUUUAAACUUUCGGUGAUAUAUAGAAACAAAAUCCGUUGUGUUUAAUUGCAAAAUCAAUCCGAUUAUGGUCGAAGUUUGUUGUUUGAUGCCUCAAAUGUAUUUGAUUCUUUUAACUAUUUCCAAGAAAUUUUUGAAGUUUUAGAACAUAUAAUUUUUAUGUUUUUUUCUUUUCGCUUUUAUUUCAAUUAGGAGUAUUCAUUUUGGAAAUGUGAAGGUAAUUCAGAUUUGUUCAUACAAGUGAAUUCAGAAUAUUUACGAGUCUCCACGUACAAGAGCAUGAAAAAUGCUAUAGUUUUAUUAGCUACAGAUAAGUCGUGAGAUAUGCUUCAAUCCUCAUCACUCAUUGUCACAUGUAAGUUGAACAUUUUCUUUUAGUUCUUAUCACAUAAAAAAAAUAGUCUAAACUCACUUAUAUAUGAGUCUCACUUUUUAUGGGUUUAAAGUUUAAGAUGUGAAAAAUGAUCAAUUACAUUUAAUUAAUUAUCCCAAAGUUCUUUAAAAGUAGUUUCGGGAUAAUUUUUUCUAUUUUUGGCGGAUAUUAGAUAUUGUCCUCAUCACUAAACUAAACACCAUUUUCCAUUUAAAUAGGAAAAAAAAAAGGAAAGAUAGAAUAAGGCCAGAAUAAAAUUCGGUGAGUUGUUGAAGGAUUUAUGGAAAGUGACAGAAAUGGUGUUUUUACUUUUUGCUUUUUUUGAAGAAAAGUUGAAAGCUUAAGCAGCACAAAUUAAUGUUGCUUUUACGAUUUUGUAUUUGUUGCGUCACAUUUUCUUUCCUCAAAUAUUAUAUUAAGUGGACUCAAGUAUAGCGGUCCGCCUACUGUGCAUAUCAGAAUAAAUUAAACAUAUCAGAAUAAAAUUCGGUGGGUUGUUGAAGGAUUUAUGGAAAGUGACAGAAAUGGUGUUUUUACUUUUUACUUUUUACUUUUUUUGAAGAAAAGUUGAAAGCUUAAGCACCACAAAUUAAUGUUGCUUUUACGAUUUUGUACUUGUUGCAUUACAUUUUCUCUUCAAAUACUAUAUUAAACAUAUUUCUUUAUAAGUAAUGAUACAACCAUAAAUUUUUAUAUAAAUUGAUAUGACAUUAAUUUAUUAAUUGAAUAAAAAUAUAAAUAAAUUAUGUAGACUAAUAAAUAUUUAAUUCAACUAAUUUUAUCAUACCAUAUCAAUUUGUACAAAAAUUUAUAGUUAUAUCAUUACUCUUUUUUUAUUGAAAAAUUCUUUAAAUUGUGCGUUCAAAUCAGUUCAAUUAGUAAUUCUCUUAACUUAAAAUAAAAGAUCCGGGAAUCAAAAGCCAGUUUGGUAUUUAUUUAUUUAGAUUAUAAUUUUUUAAAUACUUUAUCAGAGGCGAGAUUUGAAAUAAACAUCAAUUUUUUUAAAUCACAAAUAAAUAUCAAUUUUCAGUUGUGAAAACAACUACGAAAAAAAUUAACAGCAUACCAUUCUCAAAAAAAAAAGAAAAGCAAAAACAUUUCAUUUUCAAAACGUCAUCCGUCACGUCACGUAAUUAAUUAUUUGACUCUACUUGUGUAUUGUCGGUGUGGACAAAGCUACGUUACAGACUCUUUAUGUAACAGUUCAGUGCAAACUGGCCUUGUAUCAGCUAAUUUCUAGCAACUUUUCCUCUCUCCUGCAACGAGCGGAUGCUCCCCAUUUGCUACGUUACAAGGUCCGUGUGUCUCAAUCAAUUAUUUAUGUAUAAACUGACAAAAAUGAUAAUUCAAUAUAAAGAAAAGGCAAACUCUAUCUUACAUGCAUGUAAGAUACAUGGCUCUCAUAUGAAUAGUAUAUAUAUGGGAUCCAUAUACUAUGUAUUUUACAUGCAUGUAAGAUAGGGGAUCCCUAAAGAAAAAGGAUAAAAGUCUACAAGCUUGAAAUGAAAGGUUUCGACUUUCGAGUAUGUGGAAUCCACACGCCUCGUACAGUCCACAUUCGCAUGGCGAUGGCAUGGACUAAAUCCAACGUUAUCGUUUAUCAAAGUUGAAUUCUUCAGCCCUAAUUAAGUCGAUCAGAAUUUAAGCUGAUUUAUUUAUUAUUAUUAUUUUUUUUACAAACAAAUGAAAUUUUGGAUAUUACAAAGGGGGAAUUAUUCUUCUUUAAUUUCUCACCCUUAGUCACCAGAAAAUUACAAUAGGGGCCAAUUGCGGUUUUUUUUUUUUUUGCACAAAGUUUGGCCAAAAAACACUUCUUGCUUUGUAGCUCAAUAAAGUUUCAAUGGCAUCAAAAUGGACAUGCAUAAACGACUCUGCCAAUAUUGCCAUGCCAUGAAUCAUUUUAAUUAAAAGAGGGACAUGUCCAUAUAUAAAUGACAUACAUUGCAGCAUCUAAUUGCACAGACAGUAGUUUCUGAAUCAAAAUGCUAGUAAUAAUAAACAAACAAACAAACAAAUAAAUAAAAUUUAACUGUAAAAUCUUAAACUUUUCUUGCCUAAUAAAACAAAUUUUUCAUCAGUUACGAAACCAGCUCAGCAGUAUAUAAACAAAAUUUUAAAAUUGAAAUUGAAUAUUCAUCCUAAUUUUCCAUCCACAAAACUAUAUACUCACAAUUCAGCGAAUUAUUACUUGAAAGAUAUAAGGAAAGGAAGAAGAUAACUAUUGUAUAUUUUUAAACUAACAAAUCUAACUCUUUCGUAGAAAAUUCCUGUUCAUUCUCUUUGGUUAAACAUAUAUGAUUUAAGGAUAAGUGCACGAGUUACGAAUAAUUUAUUUAUAAAAUCAUAAUUAUAAAAAUAUAAAAAGAUAGGGUGUUGUUACAUAAAAAGCGGAGUGGAAAUAUCCUCACAAUUUUCUUUUUGGGAUAAAUGUUCUUUUGAUCCUUAAGAUUUGAGUCAAUUAUCUAGCUAGACUUUGUAUUUUUAAAAAAUUAUUUUAAAAAUAUAUGUCUUAGUCAAAAUUAUUUACUUAAUUAUUCUCCUUUUUUUCCUUAACAUGUAGAUUUAUUUGAAUUUUAAGUUCCAUGUAAGAUAAAAAAAAUAUUUUACCCACUUUGAAAGUUAGAUCCAAUUGCGAUAGAAGUAGGAUGAAUUAUAUAAGUUCAUCCUUUUAAUAUUGGUGUUGUUAUUACCUUUUCUUUUGUUUAAUAAGAAAAAAGGAAAAAAAGUUCUAAUAGGGACAAGAAAUCUCAUCCACUAAACAAGAACCUUUGCCCUAUGAGUGGUUUUGUUGCAGAAUUGAUAGUAUAUUUUGGAAUAAUUACCAGCCAAUUUUUUUUUUAAUGCCAAAAAUAGUAAUUACUUUUAUAAUGGCAACUGGAAUGAUAUUAACUCCAUUUAUUCAUUAUCUAUGUUACGCCAAAUGUUCUAUGGGUACAAGCUAUUUAAUGCCCCAAACACUUUUUUUAUUUAUUUAUUCUGGACCACGAGAGUUAUUUGUUUUUAUCUCGAUUCUUCUACCCCUAAUAGGUAUUGGUAUUUAUCCCGAUUUUGUUCUCUCUCUAUCAGUGGACAAGGCCGAAGCUAUUAUAUCUAAUGUGUUUUUGUAGAUAGUUUUCAUGACUAAAAAAAAUCAAAAAGAAAUCCCAUGAUUUUAAAAAGAGUUCGUUAUCCAAUGAACAAAGAAAUCUUUUUUCUUCUAUUACUCUUAAGUUAAAUGAAAAGAAGAAGUAAAAUAUUUUUAAUUUAAUUUAAUAACCGAUUCAUGGGGUGGUUGGAGUAUUUAAGGGGGGACGACCGAGAUACACUUGACAUACUUCUACAAUACUAAAAAGCAAAUAAUAAAUGAUCGUUAACACCUCAAAACUAUGUGGAGAAAAAUAUGCUUUCACCAAACUUUAGGGAGAAAAUCGAUAAUGUAAUUAUCUCAUCAUAUAAGCUUUUGUUUUCAAACUGUGGACUUUUACAAUAUAAUGUGAAACUUCUUAGUCGUUCCCAAGUCUACUCCUGUUUAGCUUGGUUGGCUAUAAAUAAAGAGGCGCAUAUAUAGAAGGCUUAGAAAUAACUCUCAUUCUCAUCAUUGCAAAAUGGCUUCUCUUCGUUUUCUCCUUGCAGCUGCUCUUGUAGUUGCAUUUGUGCUUGAGGGAUCAUCACCAGCUCAAGCUCAACUUUCUCCCUCUUUUUAUAAUUCCACAUGCCCUAAUGUAGCCAACAUAAUUCGGGAGGUGCUUCAGAAUGCUUUCUUGUCCGAUAUUCGCAUCGGUGCCAGCCUCAUCAGGCUUCAUUUCCAUGACUGUUUUGUUAAUGUAAUCAAUCUCUACUCUUUGAUUUUUCUUCUUUUUCAAUUAAUAUUUUAAAAUAUGAAUUAAGGUCCUCUUUUAAUCUGAGUUUUGCAUAGUAUUUUAAAAAAUCUUGUGUAACAUGUCCAUUAUUAGUAAUAUAUGAUUGAAAAAAACUACGUACACUUAUAUCCUUAACUUCUAACAGUCACAAUUAAGCUCAGGAAAAGCUUACAUCAUGGGGGAAACCUGGUCUUACAAACUUAUAUAAGACAAUUUGGAUAUAUGUAUGUUUAUCCAAAAAGAAAAUGAACAAAUAUUCAUUAUUUUCUUAAUAGUAAGAUAAGAAGAAUCUACCUAAUUAUUAAAUUAACGAUACAAGAGCAGUUGAUCAUAACAAGCUUUUAAUGUUAUUUCAGGGCUGUGAUGCAUCGAUUUUGCUGGACAAUACUACUACCAUAGUAAGCGAGAAAUUUGCUGCGCCAAAUAAUAAUUCGGCGAGGGGUUUUGAAGUUGUUGAUGACAUGAAAGCUGCCGUUGAAAGGGCCUGUCCAGGCGUUGUUUCCUGUGCUGAUAUUCUUACUAUUGCAGCUGAACAAUCUGUUGCUCUGGUAUAUAUGAAUUUCUAUUAACAACUCAUCUUGCUCUACUACAUAUUUUUAGCUUAAAAGUGAUUAAAUUACUAUGGUAUCAGAGAGUAAGUCUGACUUUACAUUCGUGUUGGAAUUUUCAGUCCCUGAGUACUUAACUAAAUGAAUCCACAUGCUUAGUUUUAGGCGGCAACAGUCCACCGACAUUACCAUGUUGACUUCGUGAUAGUGCCUGGACAAACUUUACCGUAUGAAAAGGGAAGGCUUCUCCUUCCCCCCACCCCCCCAAAAAAAAAGUGAUGAGAUUCAUGGAGGACACAUCAGUUUUACGUGAAAAUAUCUUCUUUAUGUGAUACAGUCUGGUUGAACCGUUCACUCAAAAUUGUAAUGUCGGGAAACUGCUAAUUUUGGGUGCAAAAAGACCCAUAUAAAUACUAGCCAAAUAAAGUCGGAAAGAGUAAUUGCAUGUCUAUUUCUGAUUUUAGUUAAAUUUGCUUAUUAUGCAUCUCUCAAGUGAUUCUUUUGACUAAUGAUCGUGGUUUUGGUAUCAGUCAGGGGGUCCUUCAUGGACAAAUCUAUUGGGAAGGAGAGACAGCAGAACAGCCAACAGGACUCUUGCAAAUGAAAAUCUUCCAGGACCGAACAAUAGUCUUGAGAGGCUCAAAGAUAGAUUCAGAAAUGUUGGCCUCAACGAUAAUUUUGAUCUUGUUGCACUCUCCGGUAAUAUUUGCUUUUACGCCCUUUGACUUGAGUACAAACAGACCUUGGAGUCUUUUGGGAUAAAGCAGUAUUGGAGCCAGAAUUAGAAACCUGGAUGUGGAAAAUUUUUUAAUGCCAAUACUGAGUCUUGAAAUCUUAGAGAUAGUUUAAAUGUUGAAUAUCUUAUUUAAAAAGAAAAAAUAAAUUUUGAUAAGGAUGAGAAAUCUCAUCCACUAAAUAUCAAUUUUUUUCUCAUUGUUACUCUUACUAAGACGACCACCGACACAAAGCACAUUCAUACUCUACUGCACCUAGAAGGCUUGACUGAAUAUCCUAAUGAUGGAAGAAACUGUGUUUUAAAGUUUGACAUUGGUGACUAGGAAUAUGUUAAAACGUUUGACAAAUUUACUCCCCUUAAUCACAUCAUGAAAUUUGAAUUGCUUCCCAAAAAGAAAAGUGAGAACCACCAUAAUGAAACUCCAUUAUUAUCCUUAAUUUGUAUGAAUUUGAGUAAAAAUAACAAAGAUUGGCUAUGCAUUUUUUUCAGGAGCUCACACAUUUGGAAGGGCUCAGUGCCGAACUUUUAGCGAUAGGUUAUUCAAUUUCAACAGCACUGGCAAUCCAGACCCAACACUUAACACAACCCUCUUACAACAACUAAGGCAACUAUGCCCACAAGGUGGAAACGGCAGCGUUCUAACUAAUCUUGAUGUCACAACACCUGAUGUGUUUGACAACAAAUACUUCUUCAAUCUUCAAAUACACAAGGGCCUUCUGCAGAGUGAUCAAGAGUUGUUUUCGACUCCCGGGGCCGAUACCGCUGCCAUUGUCAAUAACUUUGGCAGGAACCAGACUGCUUUCUUUGAAAACUUUGUGACUUCAAUGAUAAGAAUGGGCAAUUUGAAACCACUGACAGGAAAUCAAGGGGAGAUUAGAUUGAACUGCAGGAGGGUCAACGGAAACAGCAAUAUCGCAACAAGAUCAUCAUCAUCGGAGGGUGAUUUGGUCAGCUCUUUCUGAAUAAGCUAGUUUGCAGCUAACGCGAGAGAAAGAGUUUGUGGGUAACAAACUCAUGAAUUUACUCCUAUGUUUUGCCUGAAACAUGCUUUGUAUUUUCAAUAAACUAAAGUUGUGGUUGUGUAUUCACGUCCUGCUUUCUAUGUAUCAGAAAUCCUUGUCAUAUUGUAUGUGUUUCUUUUUUCUUUUCUUUUUUUUCUCCCGAAGUCAUCGAUAUGUAUUUUCAUUUGAGUCACUUACAAGUUUUUAAUAACCCACUUUAUCCUCUAGCUUUAAAACAUUAACCGGAAAAACACCUUCUUUUUACAUAUUGCUUUUUUCCUUUUUGUCUGACAUUUGUAGUUUGACAAAAUAGUGGGGAAGAAUUUUUUGUAAUUUUUAAAAAUGGUUACACAAACUCUUUUUAGGAUAAGAAAACUUAGUUUUUGGACAAAUUUAAAAAAAAUUGUGCGGUCUAUGUGCACAAAAAAGAGCCUAUAUAGUUUCUAAAAGUAAUGGAAUCUUCGUGUCUAAUCACUAAACCACGGCAAAUAUUUUGAUCUUUUUUUCCCAAACUAAAAGUAGUAACAAUGGUUAUCUUUUUCAUGAUCAUUAAUAAAAUCAUUUUUCCUUCUAGAACUUAAGCGUGUUCUAUCUUUUUCAUUUCCUCUCGGUCCCUUCUUGAAUUAGAAAUCUAAAUUACUCUUAUACCCAUUUCAAAUAUAAUCCUGCCACCACUUAAUUAUUUAGCACCCACUUGGGGUUUUAAUCUAACCCCAUUUGAAGUCAAAGUCAAACAAUUAUAUCUUUUAGGAUAAAUAUUAAAAUAUUUAACAAACAUUUAUUGUUAGAGCUUAAAAAUUAAGAUGAUUGAACCCACACUUAUAUGAUAAAAAUAAUUAUAACUUAAAGAGUUUGAGUAGCUCAAUCUCGCAUCUAACUAUGUAUGAGCUGACAAAAUUAUAUUUGAUAUUUCGGUAGACAAAUAAAAAAUUUCAAAAGGUUUUGUUUUUUAUAUGAAUUUCAAAAGGUUGAAAUGAAGGAUUUCGAAUAUGUGGAAUCCACACGCCACUUGCUCCACAUUCACACAUACGAUAAAAGAAACAGGUAGGCUGGCAUUAAACAAAGGCGGCUCGAGGCGUCGCCGCCCCUACCUAACACCAUUUCAAGAAUUAUCAACUUAGUCCCUCAUUUCAUGAAUAAUUACUCAAAAUUUUGGAUUUCAUUUUAAUAAGCUUUUAUUCUCAAAUAAGUUUGAUAUACAUGCAUUUGUAAUACGUUCAUUUAUACUUUUUUUUAAUAAAAUUUUACAAACAAAUAUUCCCCUUUCUUAUGUUCUCUCCACAAAAACGAAGGUUAUUUCUAAAUUUCAAGAUCAUUAUGAAAAUAAGACAUGUAAUUUCAAAUGCUCCGUAAUUAGUAUAUUGUACUUGAAAAAAAAAUUAAAAUCGAAGAAUCUAAUUGAAGACUUAAGCUUUUAAACACGAAAGAAAAAUUGAAUGAAAUUUAAAAAAGAAAAUUAACUAGUAAUUUUAUUUUAAUAAUAAAGAAAAAAAGACAUCUUUAUCCAUAUAGUUUACUUAGAUGCUCACGUGGGCCACAUUAGUUUAAAAAAAAAUCACAUAAACCUAAUUAAGGGAAUUACCGAAUUAAUAACGUAACUAACCUAUUCAAACAGUGAAACGAGGAACUUCGAGGUUGCUGCAAAGUUCUAAUCCUAAUCUGGUUUGUUUGGUUAUAAAUAAAGAGGCAUUUCUCUUUGUUUUCCAAGUCCUAAGACUAAUCAUUCUCUUCAUAGAGAAGUAGUAACUCUUAGCCAAAAUGGCUUCACUUCGUUAUCUUCUUGCAGCAGCUCUUGUUGUUGCUUUUGUGCUUGAGGGAUCACCAUCUCAAGCUCAACUUUCUCCAUCUUUUUAUUCUUCCACAUGCCCUAAUGUAUUGAACAUUAUCGAGGAUGUGCUUAAGAAAGCGUUCUCGUCCGAUAUCCGGAUCGGUGCCAGCCUCAUCAGGCUUCAUUUCCAUGACUGUUUUGUUGAUGUAAGCAAUCUCUGCUCUCUCAUUUUUCAUCUUCUUUACUUUAUCAAGCUCUCUGUCUAUGUACUUACUGAUAUAACAUAGUUUCAAGUAUAUCAAUGAACAGUAUCUUUAUAAUUUUUAUGGCAUUAAACAAAAUAUAGAGUUUUCAGUAAGAGUUUGAAUAUAUCAUUUUAAUUUCAACAACUUCCAAAACCAUUUUUAUUUAUCUUUUUUCUUUCUCUUUACAACAAAUUUUUCCUCUCUAAUUCGAUGUACCGAGGACCAUGUAAUUCUCUGUUUAUAAAUAAAUUUUAAUAUGGGGUUUUCAUGUACUAGAAAUUUAAAUCUAGCAAAGAUUUGGUACAAAACAGGAAAUAAAAUCCACCUCAUGGCCUCAUCCCUGCUGAGUUCUUUUAAUGAUCAUGGGUCCAAUAUUAAUGGUGUAUGGUUGAAAAAAAAUCACACUUGUUUUAUAUUCUUCCAACUGAGAAAUUUAAAUCAACUGGAAAUCCUAGUCUUAAAAACAUAUGUAAUAAUAAGACAAUUUAAAUAAGAAGAGUUUGCAUUAUUUAUAUAAUUUUUUUGAAUUCCUGUCCAUAAGAUAAGAAGGAAUCUAUCUACUUGAAAAAGUAAUAAUACAAUGGACUGUUAACAUAGCAAGUUGUUAAUUAAUAUUAUUUUUUCAGGGGUGUGAUGCUUCGAUUUUGCUGGACAGCACUAACACCAUAGACAGCGAGAAAUUUGCUGCGCCAAAUAAUAAUUCGGCGAGGGGUUUUGAAGUUAUUGAUAACAUGAAAGCUGCCGUUGAAAAGGCAUGUCGAAGGGUUGUUUCCUGCGCUGAUAUUCUUACUAUUGCGGCUGAACGAUCCGUUGCUUUGGUAAUGAAUUUCUAUUACCAACUCCUCUUCCCAGUAAAUAUUUUACGCUUAGAAGUAAAUUAAUAUGGGUAUCAGAAUAAGCGAACAGAAUAAUGAUAAAUCUUUGUAGUAUUAAUGUAGUGUUUAACUAUUUUUUUAAUUAAUAAUAACCCAUAUAAAUUUAACGUGUUUUUAUAUUAUUUUUUUCAGUUAAUUAAAUAUCCCGUAAGUUCAACUUUAUCCUUAGAAGAAUAUAUUAAUUAAAUAAUUAUUCACAUAGAACAAUGUGCAAGAUCUGAGUCCACAUGUUUAGCCUUUGCUAGUUAUUGCAUCUGCUAUUCAACGACAAAAUUGCCCCACCAUGUGGAAAUUGAUUUAAGUGAAGGGAUUCAUCGUUGGACCGAUCAUUUUUAGAUUCGGACGACGUGGUGGACUCCAUUAUUUAAAAGGGGUGACUUAUUGACUAUGGUGCAUCAGCUACACUGUAUGGUACCAAAAUUGCUACAAGUAUGUCAAUAUAGUGAUUAUCAACGGAUAAAUUGUUACCGACAGUGAGACACUUUUUACUGCGCUGGUGUAUCGUAGCAAGGCCUUAGUUUUAAAAUUAAAAGUUUUCUUCUUUUGUUAUACGACAAAGUUUGAUUCAACGGCUAGCAAAUUAAAUAGUCCGCCCCAAACACACAUCUCUUAAGAUUAUUGCUGAUUUUGAGUGAAUGGCUUUUGGUUACAGUCAGGGGGUCCGUCAUGGGCAGUUCCAUUGGGAAGAAGAGACAGCAGAACGGCAAACAGAGCUCUUGCAAAUCAGAAUCUUCCAGGACCAUCUAAUUCUCUUGAUGAGCUCAAAUCUAGUUUUAGAAAUGUUGGCCUCAAUGACAAGUUUGAUCUUGUUGCACUCUCCGGUAAUUAUUAAUUGCUUCUACAUCCUUUUAGUUACUUGAGUAAAGUUACGAGAGUAAACUUUUAGGAGUCAAAACUGCCUGCUAAUAGUAACUCAUACUCAAAAAUUAAUUUAAGAAAUGAGUGUUGGUGCCUUAAAUUUAUAUUUACUUAACUCAAAAUUUAAAUAAUAUCCCUAACAAUAAAAUUAUCAUUAUUGUUCCUCGUAUGUGAAUUCAGUAAAAAUAACAAAGGUUUGGUCAUGCAUGUUUUUCAGGAGCUCACACGUUUGGAAGGGCUCAGUGCAAAUUUUUCAGUGACAGAUUAUACGAUUUCAACAAAACUGGCAAGCCAGACCCAACAGUGGACAGAACCCUCUUAAAGCAACUGAGGGAACUAUGCCCACAGGGUGGAAACGGCGCCGUUCUUGCUAAUUUUGAUGUCAAAACACCUGAUGCUUUCGACAACAAAUACUUCUCCAAUCUUAGACUCCGCAAAGGCCUUCUGCAGAGUGAUCAAGAGUUGUUUUCGACUCCUGGUGCCGAUACCGCUGCCAUUGUCGAGGACUUUGGGAGGAACCAGACUGCUUUCUUUAAAAACUUUGUGAUCUCAAUGAUAAGAAUGGGCAAUUUGAAACCACUGACAGGAAAUCAAGGGGAGAUUAGAUUGAACUGCAGGAGGGUCAAUGGAAACAAUAAUAUUGCAACAAGAUCAUCAUCAUCGGAGGGUGAUUUGGUCAGCUCUUUCUAAUAAGCUAGCUUGCGGCAUAUGCGAGAGAGUUUUUGUGCUUAACAAACUCGAAUUUAAUCUUAUCGUUUGGCCUGAAACAUGUUAUGUGUUUUCAAAUAAAUUAACUAUCAAACUUGAGUUUAAUCUAAUUUUCUUGUCUGAAACAUGCUAUGUAUUUUCAAAUAAAUUAAUUAAACUUGUGUUUUUGUGUUCUCGUCCUGCUUUCUAUACGCAUCAAAAAGCCUGAUACAGUAAAUUCUCUGUAUAAUCAUAUUGUUGAGACUGGAGAAAUUUAUUUUAAUAAAGAGGUUAUAACUCAAUAGAAGUAUAGUACAAAAAUUAUUGUCUUUACUUAAUUAUCUCUAAUGCAAGUGAUAUAGGGGUAAAUUAUGUCAUGUAUUAAUAAAUUAAUAAUUAUUAAAUGUAACAUGAUAUAUAUUUUUGAUAUAUUAUUAAUAUGUGAAAGUAAGUUUAUUAAGUCGGGACUUAUAAAAAAUAUAACUUAUUACAAUGUAAAAUUUAUUUUUAAUUAUAACUGGUCCCAACUUGGGACCAAAAUUUUAAUUACUAUAAAGAAAUUAUUCAUAUAUAAAGUAUUUCUAUUUGGAGGUUUUAUUGUAUUAUUGUUUAUUAUUUGUUCUUUCAACAUCAUCAAUGUCACGUUUUAACCAAUAAAAAUUAUGCAUAAUUGCAUAUAUGUGGCUUGUGCCGUAGGCUUGCCGCUAAGAAUUAAUAUUAGAUCGGGCAGAAAAAAUUAUGAAUUUAAAUUUAUUUGUCGAAUGAUACUUUCGUUCUCUUAGAAAUUCUUUUUAUCUCUCUUAUUAUUUUUUUCGUUUCGUCCUUGAAAUUUAAUAAAAUCAGUUUUCUCUUAAACUUAAUUACGCUACUUUCAUCUUUUAUAAUCUAAGAGAACAUAGAUGAAUUUUUUCUGUAAGGAAUUUACCUUGCAUCAGUUAAUUAAAAUAGUUACAAUUCUAAAAUUGAUUUUUUAUAUGAAUUACGUAACAAUCACUAGCUAUAGGCAUAAUAUGUAGAAGCCAUAGGGAAAAUGAUAUUUCAGUAAAUAAUAAUUAAAAUUCCGAAGGGUUUCGAUUUGUGGAAUCCACACGCUAAAAGAAUAAUAUUAAUCAGAGGCAAAGGCCCCGGGACCGCCACAAAACAAAGGCACCAUUUCAUGAAUUAUUAACUUUUUUUUUUUUGUUUUGACCACGAGGUAUCCUGGAGAGGGCCCCAACUGUGAGAGGUACCUUUAAGCCCGUACCAAAACCUAGACUAAAAGUCCCCGCUCGAACCGAGAGGCACAGGUUCUCCUAACAAAGGCGACUUCCCUGCGACUCGAACUGGGGAGCAAACUCACUCAAGCCAUGAAUUAUUAACUUUAAGUGGCUUAGAUUCAACCACUCAUGUGGGUGACGAGAGUUUUAGUUUCAUUUAUAUAAAUACUAAAAAUAAAUAAAUAAAUAAAUAAAACGGCUGGGAGGACCGGUAAGGCUUCAAAAUUUUUUGGUGAAACAUAUGCUUUUACUAUAUCUUAGGGAAAACAUUAAUUAUGUAAUUAUUGCAUCAUAUCAUUUUACGUUUUCUGUUUUGCAUUUUACACUUUCGUUUUCACCGAAAUAAAAAAUGGGUUCAUAAUUUGCAGCCACUAAAUAAGUUCACAUUUAAGACUCAACUAUUAAUUUUGAAAAAAAUAGAUGUGCUUGUUUGUUUCUGGGGCGCCUAUACAAGGCCCAAAACGUGUCUUGCCAAUUAAGGUGUAGAUCACCCCUUAUAAACUCAACAUCUUUCAUGUGCUUUGCCGAUGUGGGAUUUGCCUAGGGUGUUACAUACACCCCCUCUUGAGGACUCAACGUCCUCAUUGAAGUUUGCCUCACCAUCGCUCAAGAGGACAUGUGGAGCCGCUCUGAUACCAUAAUGUCAUGACCCAACCCAGACCUGACAAGACAUUAUCCGUUUUGAACCUUAACAAGGCCCGCACGGGUUUGUUUCAGGGGCGCCCAUACACUCCAAAACGCGUCUUACAAAUUAAGGUGUGGAUAACCCUUAUAAACCCAACAUCUCUCCUAUACUUUACCGAUGUAGGAUUUUCCUAGGAUGUUACAUACACCCCUUUGGGGACUCAGCGUCCUCGCUGAGUUUUGCUCCACUAUCGCUCAAGAGGACACAGAGCCACUCUGAUACCAUAAUGUCAUGACCCAACCCAGACCUAACAAGAUAUUGUCCACUUUGGGUCUUAAUAAGGCUUGCACGGUUUUAUUUCUGGGGCGCCCAUAUACUCCAAAAUGUGUUUUGCCAGUUAAGGUGUAUAUCACCCUUUAUAAUCCCAACAUCUCUCCCAUGCUUUGCCGAUGUGGGAUUUGCCUAGGAUGUUACACACACCCCUCUUGGGGACUCAGUGUCCUCGACGUGGUUUGCCCCAACAUUGCUUAAGAUGAUACGCAGAGCCAUUCUGAUACCAUAAUGUCAUGACCCAACCUAGACCUGACAAGAUAUUGUCCGCGUUGGGCCUUAAGAAGCUCUGUACACGUUUGUUUCUACGGCGCCUAUACACCCCAAAACGCAUCUUGCCAAUUAAGAUGUAGAUCACCCUUUAUAAACCCAGUAUUUAUCAUGUGCUUUGCCGAUGUGAGAUUUGCCUAGGGUGUUACAGGUAAGGGAUUUAAACACAAGGUUACUUUUAGAACAGUGAAUGCAACAAUUAUUUCUGAAAGGUCUUAAAUGCUAUGGAUACAAAGGAAUUAAUUCGUAAGUGUAAAGCGAUAACUAUCAAAGAGAAAAAAAAAAUAAAGUAACUUUGGAAGUGAGAAUGAAAGAAAAAAGAGAGAAGGUAUUGGCUGGCUAUUUGAUGGGCAAGAUACUUCUUACAAGAGGAGUUCAUAAGAAAGGGCUGAAGAUGGCAUUACAACAAGUUUGGAGGACAAUUAAAGAAGUUAAGAUAGAGAGCUUGGGUGCUCAUAUCUUUAUGUUCAAGUUUGCAGAUGAAGCUGAUAAAAGAAGGGUGAUGGCAGGAGGCCUUUGGCACUUUGAUAAGGCCUUAAUUGUCCUUACAGAACCGAAAGGAAUUGGGGGAGAUCACAAAACAGUCUUUCACUCAUACAACAUUCUGGGUGUAGAUUCGAAAUGUCCCAGUUGCCUGUUUGGAAAGAUAUUUUCUCCAAGAAUUGGGUGGGAAGAUUGGGGGAGAUCACAAAACAGUCUUUCACUCAUACAACAUUCUGGGUGUAGAUUCGAAAUGUCCGAGUUGCCUGUUUGGAAAGAUAUUUUCUCCAAGAAUUAGGUGGGAAGAUUAGAAUAGUAAAGGAGGUUGAAACAAACGAAUAUGGUGAAUAUAUUGGGGAAUUUGUAAGAGUUAGAAUUUCGAUCAAAAUGACUCAGCCAUUAGAAAAGAUCUUACAAGAGGGUGAUGCAGAUAUUCCAAUGUCUAUAGAUUAUGAAUGAUUGCCUGACUUUUAUUUCAUUUGUGGAGUUAUUAGCCACUAGUUCAAGGAAUGUGCUAAGUAUUAGGGUCAACGAAAAGAGGAACUUCCAUAUGGGGUGUGGAUGAAGGCAGUUACAGUAGGAGGACGCUCAAAGAAGCACCGUAUCAAUGAGAGAUGGAAUAGGGAUAGUGGCAAAUUAGUGAGUAACUCGGCAAACUCAGAACAUUAUGGCUGCUCACAACAACCUCAACAGAGUCAAAGUAACCUGGUUGACAAAACCAAAUCAGGAAGAGAUGGAUCAAACUAAUGAAUUAGCUAUAGGUGAUGAGGUGGAACGAGUAGGUGAAAAGCGUUUAAUGAAUGGCAUGUUGGAAAUAACAAUGGCACAGCAAACAAGCGGCAAAAAGAAGCAUGAGAUAGAGGGAAACACAAGAGGACUUGGAAAUGUGGGAAUUCAUGCGAGAAAUAAAAAUGUUAAAAACAAGCGAGAAAGUUUGGAGGCAACACCAAUUAAAGUUUAUGAGGAGAUAUUGUACUAAGAAGGCGCGGAAGAAGCAAAGAGAGGAAAUUGGUCUCGAAGGGCUCCAAUGAGACCCAAUAGAAGGAAAUGAAAAUUACAAGCCCGAAACACAAACUCCAAUGGUGGAAACAAAUAUAGGUUAGGGGUGUUAAAAAGGCCAAGUUGUGAGCUAACUGGGCAAAGUCCAAAACAAAAGAAGAUGAAAGUGACUAGCCUACCCAAAUUAGAAACAAAGUAAUAUCAAUUGAAUUCACCAGUGGCAAGACUCAAUUUGAGCUAGGAACCGUUGGCAAUGGAGGGAAUGGAAAUUGCAGACUCAAACAUAUAAGAGAUAUCGGUAGAGGUUGGCGAUCAAGAACGCUGGAAGCCAUGAAAAUCCUCAGCCGGAACAUUCGGGGUUUGGGGAAUUCCCGGAUGUUCCUAGCAAUGAAACAAAUUCUCCAAAUUCAUAGACCUCAACUUAUGUUUUUGAGUGAGACAAAGUUGCAAUCUAUGCAAAUGGAUACGGUUCGUAGUAAGCUAAAUUUUGAUAGUUGUUUUGCUAUGGAUAGUAAUGGAAGGGGAGAAGGUCUUGCAAUGCUUUGGAACUUUGAAAUUUGUGUGCAAAUUAAGUCAUUUAGUAAGCACCACAUUGAUGCUGAACAACAAAUGGGCAAUGGAAAGCAAAUGCAAUGUACAUAAGUGUAUGGACAUCCAGAAAUGCAACAAAAAAAGCACACAUGGACAUUAAUGAGACGCCUAUCAGAUUUAUCUUCCAUACCUUGGUUAUGUUUCGGUGAUUUUAAUGAAAUUUUACACCCACAUGAGAAGAGUGUUGGCAAUGAUAAAAAUCCAAACCAAAUUAGUGACUUUAGAGAAGCCUUAAGAGAUUAUAAUCUAAAGGAUGUAGGCUGCAAGAGAUAUCUGUUUACAUGGGGUAACGGAAGAUUUAGCCCUAACUUUGUGGAAGAACGAUUAGACAGAUUUUUAUGCAAUGAGGUUUGAAGUGAGAGAUUUGUUGACUGUGUAGCUGUUAAUCUCAAGAGUUGGAUGUUCGAUCACAGCCCGGUGUUGAUGGAGGUUUAUAAUAGAAGUAAUGGCCUGAAUUAUCAAAUAAAGAGAACUUCACAAAUCCAUUAUGAAGAUAUGUGGAUCUCAUAUGACACCUGUAAAAGUAUAAUUAAAGAAGAAUGGCAUAAACAUGGAUGCUGGAACAUAGAUGAUCCCAUACAUUUAUCCCAUAAGGUGAUUAAAGAUUCCAUGGCUAGUUUGAUUCUGUGUAGCAAGGAAGAAUUUAAGGGGAGAGAAAAGAAACUGAAGAAGUUGAAGAAACAGUUGCAGAGCUUAAAGGAAAAAAUGUGCAGUAUGAAUUUGGGGAUGAAAUUAAAUGGGUGGAGAGACAUAUUCAUAACAUAGUGGUUGGUGAAGAGAUUUUCUGAAAAUAGCGAUCGAGAGCGGAUCGGCAUAAAAAGGGGGAUAAGAACACCAAGUUUUUCCAUUAUAAAGCCUCAUCGCAGAAGAAAAAGAAUGUAAUAUGGGGAAUUGAAGAUGAAACCGGAAGAUCGAUUAAAAAUGUUGAAGAAGUGGAGCAUGAGUUUUGCACUUAUUUCACAAAUUUGUUCACCACAUCCAGACCAAGCUAGAACCAAAUAGCAGCAGCUCUUUCAGGGAUAACACCGAGGGUCUCAAAUGACAUGAACGAGCAAUUGGACAAGCCUUUCUGAACAGAGCAAAUUGUUGAAGCCUUAUCACAGAUGUGUCCAACGAAGACUCCAAGGCCUGAUGGAUUGCUAGCAGUCUUUUACCAAAAACAUUGGCAAACGAUUAAAUCCGGAGUUAUCACUACUUGCCUCCACAUCCUCAACAAGCAAGGUACUAUAGGCCCUCUCAAUCAUGCAUAUAUUGCUCUAAUUCCUAAGAUUGGAAAACCUAUAAAAGUCACUGAUUUUAGGCCUAUUAGUCUUUGUAACGUUAUCUAUAAAAUUAUUGCUAAGACAAUAGUAAAAAGGCUUAAACAAACCCUGUCCAAAAUCAUAUCCCCAAUGCAAAGUGCUUUCAUCCCUAAUAGGCUGAUAACCGUCAAUAUCACUGUAGGUCACAAAUGCUCCUAUAAAAUAAGACACGGUAAGGGGAAAAGAAAUAGCCUUGUGGCUAUAAAGCUCAAUAUUAGUAAAGCCUACGAUAGAUUAGAAUGGAAUUUUCUUGAGCAAACCAUGUUGGAGCUAGGUUUUUUUCAAAAUUAUGUACGAUUGGUCAUGAGGUGUAUAAGCUUUGCUUCUUUUUCUGUAAUUAUAAAUGGUAUGAUUAGCGGACUAAUCAAACCUCAGGGUGGGCUAAGGAAAAUAUGUCUGCUAUCUCCAUACCUUUUGAUCAUAUGUGCAGAGGCUUUUUCUUCUUUGCUGGUGUGGGCUGAACAGUAGAAGCUCAUUCAUGGGCUGUCAUUUGGCAAUGGCACUAAAAUCUCUCACAUUCUUUUUGUGGAUGACAGUCUUGUAUUCACUAGGGCAUCAGCUACAGAUUGUCAAAAUUUGAAAAGAAUUUUUAAUUGCUACACUACAACCUCUGGAAAAUUAUUCGAUUAUGACAAAUCCUCUAUGCUCUUCAGUUGUAAUGUUCAAAGUGAUUAAGCUUUGGUAAUCAAAAACAUAUUCCAGCUCAACAUUGUUUCAAGCAUGAAAAAUAUUUGGAGCUACCGGACAAGAGCUCAAAUCAGUUUACUCUUUAUUUGGUAUGUAAAGGUUUUGAAAGGUUUAAUAUCUAUCCAGAAGAGUUUUUUUUUUUUAAUACUAAUAAUACAAUCAGAUAUUAUAAUUACAUAGUGAAACUAUAACUUUACGUACAUUAAAUUUUAUAAAAUACUUUUUUAGAUUGUCUAUCUUCACAUAUAUCUUAGGGUUGUCCGCUCCACCAAAUUGUCUACCUUCACAAUUAUUCGAGGGAUAUUAGAGGGUCGUCCACUUCACUUAAAAUUUACAAAAGAGAAAGUUACAAUUGACUCCAAUCAAUCAUACUUAAUUAAGGGAGAGCCCUUGAGAUCUCAAACUGGUGCUCUCACAAAUGUUUACAAAUGUGAGAGUAAGUAAUCCAUCACUCGGCCAAAGACCGAGUGGUCUAUCCAAAAUAUAUUUAAAUAUUACAUUUUAUUUAUUUAUUAUUUAUUAAGUGUAUAUAUAUUAUUAUAGUUAGUUGAAAUAUAAAUGUGAUAAGAAAUGAAUGGAAAAAAACUUUUGGUCCAUGCCAAAACUUUUCCCUUUUGAUUGGAAUUUUGCAAUCAUAAUUCGAAAACAUACCCUUUUGAUUUUCUUAUGGCAUAAAUGGAAUCACAACCCGCAACCAUAAAUUUUCAUCAAACAUGGCGUUGGCUUAAAUUUGAGUUAGCAAGGAGUUGUAUGUAUUGUGAAGUUAUCUUCUUUGAGAACUUUGUUUCUUCCACACACUAGAAAGUAGCAGGUUUUUGAGAAUUAAUCUAGUUGAUGGACGUCCGUUAAUUGAGGUUGGUCAUAGUUAGACGCCAGAUAUAUAGUUGAUCAAUUGGUGAAUUUUAAUCUUUUGAUUUGAAAUAAUAGAUUUGGGGUUUGAAUCCACUCACGUGGAGCUAUCUGGGUUGCCAUUAAGCUAUAAUUUAAAAACGAAAAAUGAAUAUAUUUGAUUUCAAGAUGCAACUCUCCCUUUUCAUAAUGCCAUAGCUUACUGUAAAAAUUUAAUAUUUACUCUUUGUCAAUCUUGCCUAGGGAGUACUCUUGCACACUUUCGUGAUUUGGCAAUUUUUGCCCGGUUGGGUAAUGAUCCAUGCUUUGGAAAAGCUUCGAAAAUAGCUACAGUGAUAUGGUGUCCCCUCCAACUUUGAUAAAGGUCAACAGUAAGAAUAAUAUUCCUAGGUUAUCUGCUUGUGAGGGAAUUUCUAGAGAUCAUCAUGGAACCUUCCUUGGCAGUUCUACGUUCGUUGGUCAUGAAUCCUCUUUUUAUGCUGAAUUUAUGGUAGUUAUUCUUGCUAUUGGACAAGCAUGGUUAAGGGGUUGGCAUAAACUUCGGAUUAAUGUGACGCCAUGUCUAUGACUCAAUGUAUUCAGAAUUUUGGCUACUCUCUUCCAUGGAAACUCCACACUAGUUGGUUUAAUUGCCUUUACUUGCUUCGCUUAAUAUAAUAAUUUAUCACAUAUUUAUCGUGAAGGUAACAAAGUGGGGGAUACUUUAACUAACGAUAGUCUUAGUUAUCAUUUUUCCACUGUGGAAUCUACCUCCCCAUUCAAUUCAGAAGCCUCUUCUUCUAGAAUUUUGGUGUUCCUAAUUUUCAUUUGUCGUAACUUUUAUCACUCUCAUGCACUCUUUUAUCUUCUAAAUAAUAUUUUUUCAAUUUAAAAAAAAAAUGGACUUACACUCGGUGAAAUCAAUGUAUAGGACAAUAGCUAAUUUGAGAAGAUGACAGUGCAUUGAAUACCCGUUAAUGUCCUUUCUAGGGCCAGUGGUAUCAAAUUAUUCGAAAAAAUGACAGUAUUGAGUAAUUUUUGCUUACUUGAAUGAAUGAAGCUAUUAAAAUAUCCACAACAGAGAUACUACGUACGUAGCUAGGUUUUUUGAUAACAAAUACAGUAAUCGGCCAUCACAUUUUCUUCAAAAUCCAGGAGGCCUCGACAUCGGCUGCUGCAAUGGCUGCAUCCGAGAAGCCAACAUCUUAGUUGUAGCUGUAUAAACAGUUUUAUGCAUCAUGGAGGUUGCUGGAUUGGAAGAGUUGAUGAUCAUAUGAUCAUCAUUAUUAGUCCUUUGCAUCUCACAUUUGACCAUAACUUUAAAAAAAAAAAAUGGUCAUGGACUUACACUCAUUGAAUUCAACAUAAAAGACACUAGGGAAGCUGAGGAGAUGAAUAUCAAUGCAUUGAAUAAUCUUCGACAGUACAAUCAGUACGUACGUAGUUAGGUUUCUAAGUACAAAUACAAUAACCAGCCUUAACGUUUUCUUCAAAAUCCGGGAGGCCUCGACAUCAUCAGCUGCUGCAACGGUUGCAUGCGAGAAGCCAACAUCUCAGUUCUAGUCGCGUAACCAGUUUUACAAAUCACGGAGGUUGCCGGUUUGGCAGAGUUGAUGAUCAUGUGAUCAUGGUUAGUCCUUUGCAUCUCACAUUUGACGCACGAACAUAAUUGCCCAUCAUUCGGUACCUGAGAAUAUGUCAAAGAACGUCCUUGCAUUGUGACUGUGGCAGUAGGAAACGCAACAGCUUCAAAAUUAUUGCAAAGAAGAGGCACCGAUCGAGGAACAAAAUGGCAGCUCCGGAAGAAAGGAUGUUCCAAAGCUUCCGCAGCCGUAGGCCUCAUGCGUGGAUUCCAGGAACAAAGCCAUGAAAUCAAGCUGAUGGAUUAUCGACUAGCUGAUGGUAACAACUCACUUAGAUUCACGCCACCCAUCUGCCGUAGAUUUUGUAAAUUUGAUCAGCUGAAUUUUUUCCCGGAAAAAGAAUCCUGAAACUCAACAUCUCGAACAUAAUAGCACCCAUCGCCCACCUAUCAACUUCAGGUCCACAUAUCUCGGAUAAAAGCAACACUUCAGGAGCUCGAUACCAGCGAGUUGUAACGUAAUCAGUGCACGGCAGACUGGAAUCAAUUUCCUUCACCAUUCCAAGAUCCCCUAUCUUGAUCACACCUUUCGAAACAAGCAAGUUGGAAGGCUUUAGGUCACGGUGAAAAUAACCCUGUCGGUGCAUGUAAUGGAGACCUUGAAACACUUGAAAACACAAGUUUCUGGCUUCAUCUUCAGAGAAAUUUUGACCCGCACUUUCUUUCAUAAGUUUUAGAAGAUCAGAUUCCAUGUAAUCGAACACAAUGAAUACGUCUUCGUGUUCUUUGACAAGAUUCCUCAACUUGACAAUGUUGGGAUGAUUAUUCAUCUUCCUUAAAAAUAUCAUAAGUUUCUGAUCUUUUCGUAUUGCUCCAUUUUUUUUUCAGUGCGAUAUAUGGAACCAAUUUUUUUUUCUGCACGGGUAUUUAUAAUGUGACAAUAACUUGCCGUAUUGAAUUAGGAAAUAGUUUCCUAUUCCCAUUAGAUUUUUAUGUAAUAACAAUUACCCUAAUUGAAUAGGAAACUAGUUUCCUAAAUGAAAUUAAAACUGUAGUAAGAAAAGGAAACGCGUACCAGAACCGCACUAGGAAAAGGUUAUAUUAGUAACUUUACAUAUAGUAUUAAUUAUCUAAGUACAUCAAUUUUCUUGAAUAUAACCAGACAGGCUUGUUAAUUAGAAACUACUGUAAUAUAAGUUACGUAAAUACAUAAAAUUAACCAAAUAGGCCAUUACAAAUUUAACAGUUUCCCCCUUUUUUAAUUUUCUUUUUGUGUUGCCAGUGUUCGCUAAAAGAAGAGACUGCCAAAACCAAUAAUGAGAAAUAUAGGUCAAAAAAUGUUAUCAUAAGAGUUCAUGCAUGAUUUCAUUUGAUCCAAUUAAUGAACAUAUUGAGAAGUAAAAUUGGGAAAAUCUUUUAUUGCAGUCUUAUUACAUACUUAUUCAAGAAAUCACAGAAAACACAAAACCUGCACACUUAUAAAUAGAAACACAUAAUCCAAUGUUUUUUGUACGAAAUUAGGAUAUGUAAUGUCUCACGGUGCUCGGAAGGAUGUAAAUGAUCAGCUUAUAACGAAUUGCAUCCUUAGAUUAGCAAUUUGGGUGGACUUAAGUCCAUACCAAGAUCAAAACCGCAAAGCCCGAAGAUUGAAAAAAAAAAUUAUGAUUUUUGUUCAAAAUGUCAUUUAUAUUAUUCAACAUUGUUUAUUUUAUAUUGUUGUUUUAUCAAUAUCCUCCUAUUUUUACUUUCUGUGUCACUUGACAUAUACGAUGACAAUCUAUCUUUAUUAUUUUUUAAUACCAUUAAUGAUAAUGUUGAAAUAUAGGUGAUGAAAGAGAGGAUUUGGGGCGAACUUUUAUUCGUUAAUAUCAAAUAUUUGCCAAUUGGAUUUUUUCAGAACCCGACUCUUCAAUUCCACGACUGCUCUUAUACAAUCCUAAUCCUCGGGAAAAAUGAGAGAUCUUGGAGAAUUUGACUAAGAAGUUUUCACUUGUCAGUUCAUAAAUUUGAAGAGAGUCUAUUCAGUCUAAUAUCAAUUAAGGAAGAAGAUGAUGUAUCGAACAAACAGGCCAAGAUUCUCUUAUGAGAAAAUAUGAUAAGGGUGCUUUGUUUCAUGCCGUCGGAUUCAUAUUUUGGCAAAAAAAAAAAUUGUUUCAAAGCUUUUGGCAAACUAAUGAAAAUAAAAUCACAGCGUACUUGGUAAUGAUGAUCCUCGCAUUUUUACCAAAUUUUGACAUUUAGGGACUUGAAAUUCCUACUUAUAUAUGGUGGUUUUGUAACUAUAGGAAACUGAGAAUUUUUAUAUCUUAGUAACAAAAUUCGGAUUUGGUGUUAAUUUUUUGGUCCAAUAGCUUCUAUCUUUUUCCAAGUAUUCAUAAGGGAAAUACAAUGGAAUAGGAGGAAUGCAUUCUGAAAUUACAAAUCAUAAAUUGGGACUUUACAAAUAACAAUGAUUACAGUUAAAACAGUGAUAUAGCAGUUAAAAUAGUGAUUACAAUAAUGAGAUAACAAAUCAAAUAUGAUAUAAAAAUAGAAUGCAAAUCAAGACCUCGAUGUAGGGUGGGGUAAAAAAGUUAGGGUCGGCCAGCUUAGGGUCAUAAGCUUUAGGCCCUGCUUGCUUUGUGAUACCAUAGACAUGGGUAAAAAAAUUUAAAGUCAGAUGUGAAUGAACUUAAUUAAUGGUUUAUGGAAAAUUCUCAAGCUUUAUAAUUUAUAAAUUAAAAGAAUAUAAUUUAUAAAUAUUAUUUGUGGUUUAUUAUAUUGUGUUAUUUUAUGUAUUUGACUAUUUAUCUAUUAUAUAUUAGAAAAUCAUUAUUUUAAAUAUUUUAUUUUUAACUUUUAACUUUAUUAAGAAUUUAUUUAAAAAUUUAACGGAAGCUCAAGUCCGGCCCAGCCUCAGACUGUCCAAGUUGGAUGGACUUUUAGAGGAUGUGGACCUAUUACUAAUAACAUGGACUUAGGCAUGAGCUUUAAAAAAUCUAGCCCAAGCUCGUAAUUUGUCAUCCCUACCUGCAUAAUAUUAUAGCUUCAUUAAAAUAAAUUCGCCUCCUGCUAUUAAGUGCUUUAGGUUUUGAACAGUGCCUAUUUUCCAAGAGACAAUGGUAAUGAAUAAUUCUAGCGCACUAAGAGGUUAUUGUACAAAAAAGUUCCAUUGUCUCUAAACUUUAUGGAAAUUGGAUAAAUGACAUUGAUGAUACAUGACAUUGACAAAGGAGGUAUUGAAGUUUAUCUUCUUAUUCUUCUAUCCUUAUUUCUCUUAAAUUAUUCCUAGCCAUUUUCUUGAAGUGAAGAAGAAUGUCAAUUCAUAGAAUUGUAUGAGAGGCAUUUUUAUCCACAAAUUUGACUGCUAAAAUUUUGUAACUGAUGUAUUUAAUUUCUUAUUAGGUACAGUAGCUAAUUAAAAGUAUAAUUGUUGUCGUUAAACCUUUUAUUUCAUUCUUAAAUUAAAUUCAAAAUGUAAAUGCGGCUUCAUUAACCACAUAUUAAAUUCGAGAUUUAAUCUCAUAUUAAAAUAUAAAUUUAAUUGCCUAUUAUAAAUUCUGAAUUACUUGGCAAUUACAAGUGAUAUAUUCUGGAAUUAAUUUCGUAAUUAAUUUUAAAUUUAACUAGCUACUACAAUUUUUUGUAACUCCAACUCUUAGUCAAUGCAAUUAAUGGUGUAAUUUGUGCAUUGUUAUUCACCCAAGCAUCAUUUUAAGUAUAAAAGUACAUAUUAUUACCUCUCACUUAUACAAAGUAGGUCCACUCAAAAUUAUGCUUUAAAAUAGUAAUUUAUUAUGAUACUUUUCCAACCGUAUUUGUAUGUCAAAUCAUUUUAUCAUUUUACACUCAAAACCCAAUAUAGAGAUCUGGGAAAAUUAGCUUACUUACACGUUGUACACUUAAAGUAAAAUAAUAAAAAAAUUAUAAGUACAAUAUAACGUUGAUAGUGUGUAGUUUAUGUAAUAUUUAAUCAAAAACACAAUAAACUAGUUAGAGUUGGCAAAACGAAUAAACGAGUCAUAUUCAAAUCAAAUUGUAAACGAAUUGGGUCAAAAUUUUGCUGAUUCGAAUUCGAUUCAUUCAUUAAACAAAUAGAAAUCUUAGGAUUCGGAUUCAAUUCAUUUAUUAAACAAAUAUUCGAUUCGAUUCGAUUCGAUUCGUUUAAUUCAUUUAGUAGAAUUAAUAAACGAAUCAAAUCGAAUCUGGAUUCCUUUACAAUUUGUUUAUCCGAUAAGGAAUAAAUUGAAUAUGAAUUUAUUUACAAAAAUAUAAUUAAUAAACAAAAAUUAAACAAAAUAAAAUAUAAAAAGAGCAUAAAUUUAACAUCCUACAAAAUACAAACUUAUUAAACAAAAUAAAAUAUAAAAAGAGACAAAAAUAUAAUUAAUAAACAAAAAUUAAACAAAAUAAAAUAUAAAAAGAGCAUAAAUUUAACAUCCUACAAAAUACAAACUUAUUAUCAUUUAUAAUUAUUAUAUUAGCCUUCAAACUUUAAGGUUUUUUCAUACUAAGUAUAAAUAAAUAAUUUAAUUAAAUUAAUUUAAACGAAUGGAUUAUAUUCGAUUCGUUUAUAACUCAUUUACUAAACGAAUCCUUAACAAAUAAAUGAAUCAAUGUUCUAAAACCCAUAUUAGAUCCAUUUAAUUAAUGAAUUGAAUAGAAUUCACUUAUUUAUUAAACGAAACAAUUUUUUCAAAUCCAAACUCAUUUAAUUUGCAUCGAAUCAAAUAGAGUAAACAAAUCCUAACCCAAAUUGCCACUCCUAAAACUAGUUAUACAAUAUUCUUAAUGGCACCAAAAUCGGAUUAUUUUUUACUUCGUCAGAGGAGACAGUCCCUUAAUUGGGUCGGAUAAGUUGAUGGUUCACAUUUUCAUCUCUUCCCAUCAUUUUUGUAUUGCUGCCAUGGAUUGAAAUUUCUUACUUCGUUUGGGCAUCCACGCAUGUAAUUACUACUUCUAAAAGAUCCUUAUAACCAUUUUUAAUUUAGCAAUGUAAGGAACCCUGAAUCUGUGACAUCAAGUUAAUAUGUUAUUAAUAUAUGUUAAAGUAUGUUUGACUUGAUGCGACUUCUACAGAAAAUCGUCACAUUAGUUCAGGUUAAUAUUAUAAACUUUUAUUGCCUUCUUGUAUUCGGCUUUCGGGUAGCUUAUUCCGUUUGGCAAACCGACUUGAAAAGAGUUUUCAGCUGCACAUUGGGUAACAUUAAAAAGAAAGGCAAAGAAAAAGUGUUAAUUAAGCGUAACUAUCGCCUUCAUGUUCGUUAAUACAAAUUUAAACAACGGAUGUGUUCGAUCAACUUACAAAACAACUAUUGAUAAAUUGAAAUUCACAAAAAUUUGAUACAAGUCAAGGAUUAACGAUGCCAAAUUGGUUAUUAUUUGAUUCAUUUCUUUGAAAUCUUGACAUCAUGAAGAGCAAAGCACCCCUAUAAUCACUGGAGAGCGGAUAUAACUUUUCUCAUAUCAUGUCAAAAUCCUCAUCUGUCUAUUUGAUUAUGUUCUAAUAAUUCUGUUUGUUUACUUAGAAAACAGAGUGAAAAUUUAUUGAUUGAGAGAAAUUAGAAACCAAAAAAUAUUCAUUCUACAUAAUGUAAUUUGAGAUUACAAUGUUGUUCAUAUGGUUGUGUGUAAAAUCUUCUGAAAGCAACAAACUCAUGUGCUCACAUCCACUUAUACAUAACAAACUUCUAGAGGGAAACUAUAGCUCUUAACAAUAUGCAAAAUGACCUUCCAAUGUGCAUGGAUAUUUAGCAAUGAUAUAAUGACAGCUCAGCUAUGAUGAAUCGGCACUUAAUUCUUAACAUACCCCUAUAAGCUCAAGGUCUUGAACAGACAUUGAGCUUAGUUCUCAUAUAAGCAAAAUGAUCAAAACUAAGAGGCUUUGUAAGCACAUCAGUUAAUUGAUCAGAUCUGGAUACAUGUUCAAUGACCAAUUCCUUAUUGGCAACGUGUUCCCUAACAAAAUGAAGAUCCAAUUCUAUAUGUUUAGUUCUAGAAUGAUAUUUAAGAUUGUUGUCUAAAGCUUCUGCACUUUUAUUACCACAAUGAAGAACAUGAGGCUUGUUGGGUGAUACUUUGAGUUCCUUCAAUAGAUAAUUGGUCCACAAAAUUUUAGAUGUGGCUAAUGUUAAAGCUCUAUAUUCGGAUUCAACAGUUGAUCUAGAGACAAUAUUUUGUUUCUUAGAUGAUCAUGACACAAGAUUAGUUCCAAGAUCAACACAAUAUCCUCCAAUAGAUCUUCUGUCAUUUAGAUCAAACCCCCAAUCUGCAUCAAAAUAGGCUGUCAAGGUUAGAGAACCUGAGUUGAAGAACUGAAGUCCAAAAUGUGCUAUACUUCGCAUAUAUCUCAACACUCUUUUAUAGGCCUGCCAGUAUAAAGUAGUUGGAGCAGCCAAAAAUUGGCUUAACUUAUUUACUGUAAAUGCAAUAUCUGGACUGAUCAGUGUUAAAUAUUGUAGAGAACCAUCAAUGCUUUUGUAAAGUGAAUGAUUUUUAAACAAACAACCUUUAUUUUUUUGCAAUUUAUUAGCAACACAUAUAGGUGUGUUACAACCUUUACUGUCAAGUAUGUGAGCUUUCCUUAAGAUAUCACUAACAAACUUAGUUUGAGAUAUAUGUAAGCCAUCAAUAGAUGGAGUCACUUCCAAUCCAAGAAAAUAAUUGAAAUCCCCCAAGUCUUUGAGAGCAAAUUCUUAUCCAAGCUAAUUAAUAACCCAUGUUAUCUGAGCAUUGCUUGAACCUGUUAUUAGAAUAUCAUCCACAUAGACAAGAAUGAUUAAAAUAUCACAUCUAAUAUGCUUGAAAAAUAAUGAAGUAUCUGACUUGGAAGACCUGAAUCCUUACUAAAUUAGAGAUCCUUUUAAUAUGUCAUACCAAGCCCUAGGGGCUUGUUUAAGGUCAUAAAUGGCUUUAUUCAACUUGCAGAUAUGAUUGAGAAAUUGAGGAUUAAUAAAGCCUUCUAGCUGAAGCAUGAGCACAUAUUCAAUAUGUAAGCCAUUGAGAAAAGCAUUGUCGACAUCUAAUUGCUAUAGACCAAUAAUUCAUGACUGCUAAGUUGAGAACAACUGGAACAAUGCAAGGUUUUACAACAUGACUGAAUGUCUCAAAGAAAUCUACUCCAAAAGUUUGAUGAAGCCCUUUUACAACUAGUUGAGCUUUAUACUUUGAAAUGCCGUCAUCUGGGUUGUAUUUAACUUGAAAAAUCCACUUAUUUCCAACAAGUUUGGUGGCUAUCUCAACUGAAACCAAUGUCCAAGUACCAUUUCUCUACAAAGCAUUAUACUUAUCUUGCAUAGCCAUAUGCCACUUCUUGUCAGCUAAAGCAAUUUUAACACUCACUGGCUCAUGGUCUGUGUAGCUGUAAAAUAGGUUUUUGGCUUGAAAAUGCUAGAUUUGGCUCAAGUAAUUAUUAGAUAAGUUGGGAUUACUAGUUGAGAUGGUGGUUGUGAUACAGGUGAAUUGGAUACAUAAUGAAGGGAUGAGGAAUUAGAGGUUUAAGAAGGAAAAUAUAUAACUUGUUGAGGUAAAUGUGGAAAGAAUGAUGAUGGUAACACUACUGAGGUAGGAGGUAUAACUGACGAAUGAUUGAAGCCACUAUCAUUGAAAAUGAAAAUUGAUGGAGAGUAAAUUAGGAAGGACUCAGAAGAAGAUGAAGAGGAUGAAAAUAAUUCAAAAUAUGGAAAAUCAAACUCAUUAAAAAUGACAUGAGCUGCAAAUAUAAACUUUGCCAGAUUUGACUAGACAUUUAUAGCCCCUAUAAAGAGGGCUGUAACGUAAGAACAAACAUUUUUUGGAGUAAAAAUCAAGCUUGUAUUGAUUGUAAAGUCUAAGAAAAUGGUAACAAGCACAGUCAAACAUUCUAAGAAGCUGAUAAUUUGGUGAUUGGUAAUGAAGUUUUCGAUAAGGAGAUAAAUUAUUGAGAAUAGAGGUUGGCAUUCUAUUAAUGAGAUAAGAGAUUGUUUGAAAAGCCUCCCAUCAGAAAGAAACAUGCAUUUUAGCUUGGGUAAGAAGGGUUAAACUAGUUUCAACUAUGUGUCUAUACUUUUUCUCAACAACACCAUUUUGGUGAUGUGUGUGAGGACAACUAAAUCUAGCUUAGAUGUCUUUUGGUUGAAGAAAAGACUGAAAGAAUUUUAAAUUCACCUCUCAUAUCAAACUAUAAAGCUUUAAUAGAAAGAUUGAAUUUUUUUCCAAUCAAGCAUUUAAAGUGUUUGAAUGUAGUAAGAGCAUCAGACUUCAAAACUAAAGGAAAAAUCCAACAAUACCUAGUGAAAUCAUCAACAAAAGAGAUAUAAUAUCUAUAACCAUCCAUGGACAGAACAUAGCUAGUCCAUGUAAGUCUGUGUGAAUCAAUUCUAAAGGACAUUUUGUUUUGAUUUUAGUAACUAAAAAAUGUAAUUGAUGUAAUUUUUCAAGCUGACAAACAUCACAAAACUAAAGGAUUGAUUUAUCAACAUGAGCAGACAGCAAAUAAUUAUUCUUUAAAAUAGUUUAUAUAACAUGUUUGCUUGGAUGACCAAGCCUAUUAUGCAAUAUAUUUGCUAACACAUAACCUAAGUGUGAAAACUUAUGGGAGAUUUGGACUCUAAACAGAAAUAUAAGUCACUAUUAAAGGCUUGAACAGAAGUGACAUCAUCAUUGAAAGAGAAAAUUGACAUUAUAGAACUAGGUUAAAACACUUGCAUAGAAGAAGAAGAUAUAAGUUUCUCUUAUGACAGUAGCUUGUACAGACCAUCUUUAGCAAUCCCCUGAGCCAACAGAGUGUCAUUCACAUUGUCUUUUAGGAAAUAAACAUCAGAGAAAAAUUCAAUGGUAAUAUCAUUAUCACGAGAAGUUUGGAAACAUUAAUGAGGUUCUUGGUAAUUUUGGAGGCAUACAGGACAUUAUGCAGAUGUAAACAAGUACCAAAAAAAGUAUAGAGACAUGUAUAACCUAUGUGAGUAAUUUGAAGACUUUGACCAUUACCAAUAAUUAGUAAAUUUGAGCUAAAAAAGAUCUUACCAUCAUUCAAAUUCUGAACUGUAUUAGUUAAGUGGUGAGUUGUUCCACUAUUUAGAUACCAUCCUUGAUUAGUAACUCAUUCAGAUGUAGUCAUAAAAGCUGCCCUUGAUCCUUGAUUUUGAUUGAAAAAAUGACUUGGAGCAGGAAAAUUUGGGACAAAAUUCUUGUUGAACAUGUCUCUACACUCAGCUGCUGUGUGGUUAAACCUGAAGCAAAUUUGACAAGCAACACCUCCUUAAACAAAACCUUUUCAGAACCUCUUGAGUUAAAUCCACCUCUGCCAUAGUUGUUAUUGAAGUCACUAGGAAAUCCAUUGUUAAAACCACCAGUAAAUCCUCUGAAGUUAUUAUUCUAAUUUCAUUUUCCUCGAUUUGGUCCCUGGUAACCUCAUCUUCCAUUACCAUCAAAGCCAGCUCUUCCACCAGAAUUAGUGUUCCCAUUAUUUCCCUCAGCCUUGUUCCAGUUAUUUUGAGCAUUAUUAUUACCUUUCUUUGAAAAAUUUCCAACUUGAGCUAUAUUGACUGCAUAGUUAUUCUUAAUUUCUUUGUUGUCAUGAAGCUUACUAUUGUCCAGUCUAGCCUCAUGUGUGAGAAGCAUAGUAUAUGCUUCACUAAGAUCCAUAGUUAACAUGUUUGCCUCAAUGUAAACAACCACAAGAUAACAUGACCGAUCUAAAUAAAAAAUGAGAUGAGUAAUCAGAUCCUAAUAACUCACAGGGCAGGCUGGGCCAUCAGUAAUUGUUUUAAGCUUUGUGAAAUAUUCUGACAUUGUUAAGGAUCUUUUUUGCAGAUUGCUUAGAAGCAUUUUUAGAUGAACUUUUUUUGGCUAUGGAUUUAGAUCCAAAUUGUUUUUCAAGAUUUUCCACAACUUAAAGGAAAUCUUAGAAAUGACCACAACACUGAAGAUAUCAACACUCAUGGAUGAUAUGAUCCAGCUAAGUAAGAGUUGAUCUUGACAUUUUCAUGUUGUAUAUUCUGGAUUUUCUUGACCUUCAAUAUUUGAAUAAGAACCUUCAUAUCCAUAUCUUGGUGGAAGAAAUUGAUCAGGACAUAGCCUUGAUCCAUUGAUGUAGCCUUCGAGACCAUUACCACGAAUUGAAGAGAGUAUUUGUUGUUUCCAAGUUGUGUAGCUCUUGAAAUCAAGCUUGAUUGGAUUUGUAAAGGUGAAAGAGGUUAUGGUAGUGCCAUUAGGUUGUUGAUUGGAACAUGUUAAGGCCAUUAGAUUGAUCUCCGAUACCAAGUUAAAGUGAAAUAUUUUUUGAGAAUUCUGUUUGUUUACAUAGAAAAUAAAGAGAAAAAUUAUUAAUUGAGAGAAAUUAGAAAUAAAAAAAUAUUCAUUCUACAUAUUGUAAUUUGAGAUUACAAUAUUGUUUAUAUAGUUGUGUGUAGAAUCUUCUGAAAGCAACAAACUCGUGUGCUCACAUCCAACCAUACAUAAAAAACUUUUGGAAGGAAACUAACAACUCUCAAUAGUAUGCAUAACGACCUUCCAACAUGGUUAUUCAGCAACGAUACUAUGACAGCUCAGCGAUGAUGAAUCAACACUUAAUUCUUAACACAUGGAUCUUCUCCCUUGACAGAAAUUAGACUCUCUUUAAAUUUAUAAAUCGAAAAAGAAAAACACUUAUUAGUCCAAGAUCUCUCAAUUCUUAGGUACCACUUAUCAGGAUAAUACAACAGCAGUUGUUCACUUGGAGAGCCUGAUUUUACCAACAACAACAACAAAAUCAUUCUUUCUAAGUCCAAGUGUGGUUCAUAUAAUAUCAUGUUUCCGUUGAGAUUAAUGGAUAAUAGUUUGUUCCAAAUCCUCUCUUUCCUCGCCCAUAUUUCAACAUCUUGAUCAUUGAUGGCUUUUAAAGUAGUAAAGAGGGAUAUUGAUCAUCACAAAAGGUGAUCCAGCAAUACUGAAUGGGCAUUAAAUCUCUUGGAACAGCUCAUUGCCAUGUUAAAUGAAAUAAUCAUUAGGUACGUAGUUACUAUUAUCACUCAAAUUCGAUAAACAGUAACAAAGUCUAUCCAAGCUUUUGCACAGUGAAUUAAAAGAGAUAUCAAAAUGAUUUUAUUCGAAGCAUGUUAAUUCCCUCCAAGAGUUAGUACUUAGGUUUUAUAUAUUGUACAAAGCGAGAAUUACAUAAUUUAAAUUUAGUCUUUUAGGUUUCGGCUAAUUAUGCAAUUAGCUUAUGAAUUUUUAAAAAUUAUUCAAACCAACCUUAUUUAUGUUGAAAUUCACUCAACGCACUUUUCACUUGAAGUAGGUAAUUAGAUGUUCUUGUUGGAAUUUAAAAGUGAAUCAUACAAAACUACUUAGGUAGAAUUGCAUUAAGGAUGAAAUUUAUUAUCAAAAUUAAAUUUUAAAAAUAUGUUUGUCACUUACCUUUUUAAAAUUCUUAAAAUAUAUGUACCUUGUACACUUGCUUCACAUAAAGAUAUAAAUAAAUUACAAGAUUGAUUAAUUGAAAUCAUGAAAAAGUAAAGGGCCAAAGGGAGAUAUAUUCCACGCAUAUACCGUGCCGCAUCGUUAUUUCUAACUUAUUGAAAUUUUAAAUUCAAACUGAAUGAUUGAAAUCAUCAUCUAAAAUCAGGAAAAUCAAACAAAUCUCAUGCAUGCACCAAUCGAAGCCACUUUCCACGUGUAAAAUGGGCUAGUCAACUCAUACAAUUAUCAACAAUAAAUCCACUUAAUUUGCAUCAUCUACUUCUUUGGCAUUUAAUUUCUAUCAUUUUCUUAUCCAACCAGGCGCAUGCAUCCAGAUAGGCAUAUAGAUAUCUUUCUCCCCACAUAACUUUAUUAGCACAAUCAAGUCACUUUAAGAAAAUAGUAAGCAUUGUCGGGUAAUUGGUCUUUAUUUAAUUUGAAAAGAGCUAUUUGCAUUUCUUUAUUAAUAAGAGUUUCCAAGCAUUGAAGAUUUGCCUGUAUUUGAGUGAGCAAAAGAUAUACAGCUUAGUCAUCAGAUUACAAAACAGGUUAACUAAUUUAUUGACAAAUAAACAUCUAACUAAGAUCUUGUCAUUCGACAAACUUUUAGUUUUAAGAUCAUUUAGGAAUAUUAGCACAAUAAUUGUAAUCUAAAAAAUUAUAUAAAAAAAUUAUAUUAAUUUUUUUGCAAGCACCAUUUGCACACUUGGUAGUUUGCAUACAAUUUUUGACAAUUAAAAAUUAAUAUAAUUUUUAGGUUUGACAAUUAAAAAUUAAUAUAAUUUGACAAUUAAAAAUUAAUAUAAUUUUUAGGGUUAAAUUGAUAAUUUAAUUAUUUUUUAUUAAUGUCCAAAUAAAAAAAUUAUUAUAAAAGGGUAAUAGUGUAAAAGUAAGCCAAAAGAAAUAAAAAGUAACGGCAGGGAUGUUUCAAGACAUUUUUAAAAUAUAGGGACUAAAUGAAUACUAAUCUUAAAAUACAAUGACUAAAUAAAUUUUUACCCUAAUUUACUCACAUCUCAACGCUUUGUAUAACAAGUUAACCAGAAAAUCUUGAAAUUGUUUGCCUAUAGAUAGAGAUAUUAGAUAUUCUGUAUUUUAUUUUCUUGACGUAGGGUCAUAUGAACAAUGAAUUAUAGAGAAAGAUUGAAAGAAACAUAUAUUUUAAAUUAUAAUCGGAAAUCUUCCAUACAAUAUUAUUUAAACAGAUUAUGUUCUUAUCAGUUCCUUAAAUUUCAGGUAAUGUCGUAAUCAUAUUCAUAUUAUAUUAUAUACACUUUAUGAACACGCGUCAUUCAAUCGUCUCAUUUUAAAUAUAAUUAAACUGCAAAUAAUGAUACCACAGAGUCACAGACAUUUUUGGUCUUAGUUACGUACCAGAAGGCUGAAUAAUAAUAAUAAUAAUAAUAAUAAUAAGAGCAGGAGGUGAGAGUUUCGAAACAAAAGGAAAAAUUAAAAACCAUUUUUAAGCUCAGUACAAAAUUCAAGGACAGGACCAAGGGAAAUAAAAUCUUGAUGUACGUAGGACAUGUAUUUUGUGGGGGAAUAACUAAUUGAGUUACAAUACUCAUAUAAUAUGUUAAGUCUUUGCCAACAAAGGCGACUUCCCUGCGACUCGAACUGGGGAGCAAACUCAGUCAAGCAACUUAAGGGGACUCCAUUGCCAGUGGAGCCAACACUUUGUUGGUUAUUUCCAAGAAAUUUUUGAAGUUUUAGUAAGAAAAUACAAUUUUUAUGUUCUUUUCUUUUUCGCUUUUGUUUUAAUUAGGAGUAUUCAUUAUGGAAAGGUAAAGAUAAUUCAGAUUUGUUCAUACAAGUGAAUUCAAAAUAUUAAUGAGUCUCCAUGUACAAGAGCAUGAAAAACGCUAUAAUUUUAUUAGCUACAGAUAAGUCGUGAAAUAUGCUCUUAUCCCCAUCACUCAUUGUCACGUGUAAGUCAAACAUUUUCUUUUAGUUCUUAUCACAUAAAAUGAUAGUCUAAACUCACUUAUAUAUGAGUUUGACUUUUUAUGAGUUUUAAAAUUUAAGAUGUGAAAAUUGAUCAAUUACAUAUAAUUAAUUAUCCCAAAGUUCUUUCAAAGUAGUUUUGGGAUAAUUUUUCUAUUUUUGGCAGAUAUUAGAUAUUGUCCUCGUCACCAAACUAAACACCAUUUUCCAUUUAAAUAGGAAAAUAAAAAAGGAAAGAUAGAAUAAGGCCAGAAUAAAAUUCGGUGAGUUGAUGAAGGAUUUAUGGAAAGCGACAGAAAUGGUGUUUUUACUUUUUACUUUUUACUUUCUUGAAGAAAAGUUGAAAGCUUAAGCAGCACAAAUUAAUGUUGCUUUUACGAUUUUGUACUUGUUGCGUAACAUUUUCUUUCUUCAAAUAUUAUAUUAAACAUAUUUCUUUAUUGAAAAAUUCUUUAGAUUGUGCGUUCAAAUCAGUUCAAUUAGUAAUUCUCUUAACUUAAAAUAAAAGGUCCGGGAAUCAAAAGCCAGUUUGGUAUUUAUUUAUUUAGAUUACAAUUUUUAAAAUACUUUAUCAGAGGCGAGAUUUGAAAUCACAAAAAAACAUCAAUUUUCAUUUUUGAAAACAAAUACGAAAAAAAUUAGCAGCAUACCAUUCUCAAAAAAAAAAAAAAAAGCAAAAACAUAUCAUUUUCAAAAUGUCAUCCGUCACGUCACGUAAUUAAUUAUUUGACUCUACUUGUGUACUGUCGGUGUGGACAAAGCUACGUUACAUACUCUGUAUGUAACAGUUCAGUGCAAACUGGCCUUGUGUCAGCUAAUUUCUAGCAACUUUUCUUCUCUCCUGCAACGGUCCGUGUGUCUCAAUCAAUUAUUUAUGCAUAAACUGACAAAAAUGAUAAUUCAAUAUAAAGAAAAAGGAUAAAAGUCUACAAGCUUGAAAUGAAAGGUUUCGACUUUCGAGUAUGUGGAAUCCACACGCGUCGUACAGUCCACAUUCGCAUGGCGAUGGCAUGGACUAAAUCCAACGUUAUCGUUUAUCAAAGUUGAAUUCUUCAACCCUAAUUAAGUCGACCAGAAUUUAAGCUGAUUUAUUUAUUAUUAUUAUUAUUUUUUUUUUACAAACAAAUGAAAUUUUGGAUAUUACAAAGGGGGAAUUAUUCUUCUUUAAUUUCUCACCCUUAGUCACCAGAAAAUUACAAUAGGGGCCAAUUGCGGUUUUUUUUUUUUUUUGGCACAAAGUUUGGCCAAAAAACACUUCUUGCUUUGUAGCUCAAUAAAGUUUCAAUGGCAACAAAAUGGACAUGCAUAAACGACUCUGCCAAUAUUGCCAUGCCAUGAAUCAUUUUAAUUAAAAGAGGGACAUUUCCAUAUAUAAAUGACAUACAUUGCAGCAUCUAAUUGCACAGACAGUAGUUUCUGAAUCAAAAUGCAUUCUGGGGAGAACAUGUACAUACAUAACAGAAAAUACUAGUAAUAAUAAACAAAUAAACAAAUAAACAAAUAAAUUUUAACUGCAAAAUCUUAAACUUUUCUUGCCUAAUAACACAAAUUUUUCAUCAGUUACGAAAUCAGCUCAGCAGUAUAUAAACAAAAUUUUAAAAUUGAAAUUGAAUGUUCAUCCUAAUUUUCCAUCCACAAAACUAUAUACUCACAAUUCAGCGUAUUAUUCCUUGAAAGAUAUAAGGAAAGGAAGAAGAUAAAUAUUGUCUAUUUUUAAACUAACAAAUCUAAUUCUUUCGUAGAAAAUUCCUGUUCAUUCUCUUUGGUUAAACAUAUAUGAUUUAAGGAUAAGUGCACGAGUUACGAAUAAUUUAUUUAUAAAAUCAUAAUUAUAAAAAUAUAAAAAGAUAGGGUGUUGUUACAUAAAAAGCUCAGUGGAAAUAUCCUCACAGAUUUUUUUUUUGUGAAUAAUUUAAACAAUUAAAAAAUGGGUAAGUUAUCUCAAGUUAAAAAAAGUCAGACAUAAAACUAAACAUCAAUAUCUAAUUCUAUUUUUUUUAUUUAAGGAAUGAGAUAAGUAAUGACUUCACAUUAAAAUUCAAUUAAUAAAUUAGCUUAAAAAUAAAACUAACAUGACAUUACUAAAAUAAAAUAUUAAAUAAAUAAUUAUAAAAACAAUGUAUUAUUUUCUUUCCUUACACUUUGAUCGCCACUUUAAAUUAUAUGCAUACUGGACUUUAAAUAAAAAAAUAACUACAAUAAAAUUUAAUUUGAAAGUUAUUAGUUAUUCAAAAAUAAUUAAACUCAAACUUUAUUUAUAGAUAUAAAUCAAUAUGACAUCAAUCACUUAUAACCGAUAGAUUUGAUUUAUUAUUUUAAUUUAUUCAAUUGCCAUGACCUCACAAUUGCCAUUCAAAUAUUCAAAUUAAAUUUUUGCAUUUUGUCUUAGUUGUGAUGUGAAAAAUAAUUGAGGUAGUCGGCUAGUUAAUAAUACUUUAAUUUGAAAGGAGUUGCCGAGUUGCUGACUAAUGAUUAAUUAAUUAUCUAAGUGGAGAAAAAAUGUAUAGAAUAUCUUAAUAUAAAUAGAGGAAAAGAGAAAAAAUAAAUUUAUGAUAAAUUUAUAAAUAACUUAUAAAUAAAAAAUAAAGUAGGGGUCAAAAGAUAAGAGACAAACUAGUGACACGGUACAACCGUUGCACAAGAGUUUUGUCCCUUUCUAAUAUCCAUGUUGUAUGGCCUUUUCUUUUGUUUAAUAAGAAAAAAGAAAGAAAAAGCUCUUAUGGGGACAAGAAAUCCCAUCCACUAAACAACCACCUUUGCCCCAUAUUAUUAUUAGAACUUGGGUGAUCAGAGAUACAAAAUGCAUUCACAAUCAACCGAGCUACACUUGACAUACUUCUAGAAUACUGAGAUGCAAUUAAUAAAUUAUCAUUACCACCUCAAAAUAUGUGGAGAAAAAUAUGCUUUCACCAAACUUUAGGGAGAAAAUCGAUAAUGUAAUUAUCUCAUCAUAUAAGUUAAGCCAUUGUUUUCAAACAGUAGACUUUUACAAUAUAAUGUGAAACUUCUUAGUCGUUGCCAAGUUCUACUCCUGUUUAAUUUGGUUGGCUAUAAAUAAAGAGGCGCGUAUAUAGAAGGCGCAGAUAUAACUCUCAUUCUCAUCAUUGCAAAAUGGCUUCUCUUCGUUAUCUUCUUGCAGCUGCUCUUGUAGUUGCAUUUGUGCUUGAGGGAUCAUCACCAGCUCAAGCUCAACUUUCUCCCUUUUUUUAUUCUUCCACAUGCCCUAAUGUAACCAACAUAAUUCGGGAGGUGCUUAAGAAUGCUUUCUUGUCCGAUAUCCGGAUCGGUGCCAGCCUCAUCAGGCUUCAUUUCCAUGACUGUUUUGUUAAUGUAAUCAAUCUCUACUCUUUAAUUUUUCUUCUUCUUCAAUUAAUAUUUUAAAACAUGAAUUAAGGUCCUCUCCUAAUCUGAAUUCUGCAUAGUAUUUUUAAAAAUUUUGUGUAACAUGCCUAUUAUUAGUAGCAUAUGAUUGAACUAUAACUACAUACACUUAUAUCCUUAACUUCUAAUAAUCACAAUUAAACUCGGAAAAAGCUUACGUCACGAGGAUAUCCUGGUUUUAAAAACUUAUUAUACAAUAAGAAAAUUUGUAUAUAUGUGUAUGUUUAUCCAAAAAGAAAAUGCACAAAUAUUCAUUAUUUUUCUUAAUCGUAAGAUAAGAAGAAUCUACCUAAUUAUUAAAUUAACGAUACAACAGCAGUUGAUCAGAAAGAGUUUUUGACGUUAUUUCAGGGCUGUGAUGCAUCGAUUUUGCUGGACAAUACUACUACCAUAGUGAGCGAGAAAUUUGCUGGGCCAAAUAUUAAUUCGGCGAGGGGUUUUGAAGUUGUUGAUGACAUGAAAGCUGCCGUUGAAAGGGCCUGUCCAGGCGUUGUUUCCUGUGCUGAUAUUCUUACUAUUGCAGCUGAAGAAUCUGUUGCUCUGGUAUAUGUGAAUUUCUAUUAACAACUCAUCAUCUUGCUCGACUACAUAUUUUAAACUUAAAAGUGAUUAAAUUUCUAAGGUAUCAGAGAGUAAGUUUGACUUUACAUUCGUGUUGGAAUUUUCAGACCCUGAGUACCCCCCCCCCCCCCCCCCAAAAAAAAAGUGAUGAGAUUCAAGGAGGACACAUCAGUUUUACGUGUUGGGUUCCAGUAUAUAUUUUGAAAAUUUUAAAAAAAAAAUAUCAUCUUUAUAUGAUACAGUCUGGUUGAACCGUUCACUCAAAAUUGUAACGUCGGGAAAGUGCUAAUUUUGGGUGCAACAAGACCAAUUUCUGAUUUUAGUUAAAUUUGCUUAUUAUGCAUCUCUCAAGUGAUGCUUUUGACUAAUGAUCGUGGUUUUGGUAACAGUCAGGGGGUCCUGCAUGGACAAAUCUAUUGGGAAGAAGAGACAGCAGAACAGCAAACAGGACUCUUGCAAAUGAAAAUCUUCCAGGACCGAACAAUACUCUUACGAGGCUCAAAGAUAGAUUCAGAAAUGUUGGCCUCAACGAUAAUUUUGAUCUUGUUGCACUCUCCGGUAAUAUUUGCUUUUACGCCCUUUGACUUGAGUACAAACAGACCUUGGAGUCUUUUGGGAUAAAGCAGUAUUGGAGCCAGAAUUAGAAACCUGGAUGUGGAAAAUUUUUUAAUGCCAAUACUGAGUCUUGAAAUCUUAGAGAUAGUUUAAAUGUUGAAUAUCUUAUUUAAAAAGAAAAAAAUAAAUUUUGAUAAGGAUGUCUCAUCCACUAAAUAUCAAUUUUUUUCUCAUUAUUACUCUUACUAAGACGACCACCGACACAAAGCACAUUCAUACUCUACAGCACCUAGGAGGCUUGACUGAAUAUCCUAAUGAUGCGAAGAAACUGUGUUUUAAAGUUUGACAUUGGUGAUUAGGAAUAUGUUAAAACGUUUGACAAAUUUACUCCCCUUAAUCACAUCAUGAAAUUUGAAUUGCUUCCCAAGAGAACCACCAUAAUGAAACUCAAUUAUUAUCCUUAAUUUGUAUGAAUUUGAGUAAAAAUAACAAAGAUUGGCUAUGCAUGUUUUUCAGGAGCUCACACAUUUGGAAGGGCUCAGUGCCGAACUUUUAGCGAUAGGUUAUUCAAUUUCAACAACACUGGCAAUCCAGACCCAACACUUAACACAACCCUCUUACAACAACUUAGGCAACUAUGCCCACAAGGUGGAAACGGCAGCGUUCUAACUAAUCUGGAUGUCACAACACCUGAUUUGUUUGACAACAAAUACUUCUUCAAUCUUCAAAUCCGCAAGGGCCUUCUGCAGAGUGAUCAAGAAUUGUUUUCGACUCCCGGUGCCGAUACCGCCGCCAUUGUCAAUGUCUUUAGUAGCAACCAGGCUGCUUUCUUUCAAAGCUUUGUGAUUUCAAUGAUAAGAAUGGGGAAUUUGAGACCAUUGACAGGCAAUCAAGGGGAGAUUAGAUUGAACUGCAGGAGGGUCAAUGGAAACAGUAAUAUAGAAACCAGAUCAUCGUCAGAGGGUGAUCUGAUCAGCUCUUUCUAAAUAAGCUAGUUUGUGGGUAACAAACUCGUGAAUUUACUCCUAUGUUUUGCCUGAAACAUGCUUUUUAUUUUCAAUAAACUAAGGUUGUGUUUGUGUAUUCACAUCCUUGCUUUCUUUGUAUCAGAAAUCCUUGUCAUGUGUAUUUUUUUCUCCUAUGUCAUCGAUACACAUUGUCAUUUGAGUCAUUUUUCUGUUUUUAGUGGUCCAUUUUAUCCUCUAGCUUUAAAAUACUAACCGGAAAAACACCUUAUUCUUACAAAUUUCUUUGUACUUUUUGUCAAACAUGCGUAGUUUGACAAAAUAGUAGGGAAGAAUCUUUUAUUUUCAGAAAUACUCAAUACAUACUUUUUUUAUGGGAUAACAAAACUUAUUUUUAGACAAAUUUUAAAAAUCUAUUUUACAAUUUUUGGGGUCUGUGUGUACCAAAAAAGAGCCUAUAUAAUUUCUAAAACCAAUAAAAUCUCCGUACUAUUUCACUAAACCAUUUCGCAAUUAUUAUGAUCCUUUUUCCCCAGAAAAGAAAACACUUGUAGCCAGUAGCCACAGUUACCUUUUUCAUGAUCAUUAAUAAAAUCAUUUUUUACCCAUUUCAAAAAGUCAUCCUGUCGUUUCUUAAUUAUUUAACUCCUACUUGUGGUUAGGGAUGGCAAUUGUACCCGCAAACCCGCAAACCCGCCCAAACCCACCCGCCAAAACCCGCCCGUUGCGGGUAAUUUUAUCCGUUGCGGGCGGAUUUAGUAUUAUAAAUUAAAACCCGCAUAUGGAUGCGGGUGGGUUUGGUAUUAACCUUAUACCCGGUGGAUACCCGCAUGGAUAUCCACCAAACCCGCAAUAAUUUUUUCAAAUAUUUUUAAUUUAAUUUAAAUAUAAAAAUAUAUAAAGAAAAUAAUGUAAUUAAUCAAAUUACCAAAUAGCAAAAGGCUCAAAGUUGUGUAUGUGUGUAUAUGGCUCAUCUCUUAUUCUAAAGUCAUAACCUAAAGAAAACUAAAGGCAUUUCCCUUUGAAUUAGUAUUUGAAAAUAUUAAUCUUAAUUAUUAUUUUAGGCAUUGUGUUAGAUGGGUGCUUAUGGUGGUGAAUAAAAUAAAUAUAUUCUCUUUGAUCUUGUUUUAAAUGAUAAUAUGAAAUGUAAUUAUUAUUUUUAGAUAUUAGUUUGUGUUUUUUAAAUAGAUUUGUAUAAUUUAUACUUAAAUUUGAGAAUUUGUGUUGAAUUGAUGUGGAAAUUUUAAUUUUUCAUUUACACUGUUUAAAUAUAAAAUUGAAUAUGUUAUAUGGAACUUGAGGUUAUUAUUAUAAAUUUAUAUAUUAAAUAUUUGUGAUUUUAAAUACGGAAACCCGCAAAAAAUCCGCCGGAUACCAUUGCGGGUUUGGUAAUUGUUAAAACCCGCUGCGGGUGGGUUUUUUAAAAAAAAUUAAAACCCGCUGCGGGUUGCGGGUGGGUUUGGUAAUUUAAAUUUUGUGCGGGUUUGGGUUUGGUAAUGGCAAACCCGCUGCGGGCGGUGCCCAUUGCCAUCCCUACUUGUGGUUUCAAUUAAAGUAAGACCGCUGUACCUUUUAAAAUAUAACACUAAAUUAUUUAAUAAAUAAUUUAAAUAAUUUAGUGUCCAACAUGUUAAUCUUCUAAUAUUCCUUACCUGUGGCUUAAAUGCCUCAUUUUGUUUUCUUUCAUGAACUUUCAAGUUUCUUAAGAAUGUCCUGGCCUGUGUUUUUCUUCUUCAAUUUUUUUUUUUUUGAGAAAAUCUUCUGUUAGAGAUACCUUUCAGCUUGAUUAUUUAGAUGGGUCGUUAAGUUUUUUUUUUUUUUUUUUUGGGUGACUUACCGAAGUGUGUUUUUCUUCUUUCUUUCAUCUUCUUCGAUCGGAAGGAUAAUUUUGAUGAUGGAAAGAUGGAGAAGCAAAAAAGGUGAUGAUGAUGACUGUAAAUUGAUCUUUGAAAAUUGAAAAAUAAAAAAUUGAAAAAUAAAAAGGAAAAUUUUUAACCUACCCCAAAUAAUUGGAUAUUUUGCACUGUGUUCUUAAAAAAUUUGACUUGUUGCAUCGUGUUUUUAAUUUUGUUAUUUUCUCAGUUAAAUUUAAUAGUGGUGGGGUAAAAUGAGAAAUUUAUUUCUUAAAUUAAUUUUAAUAGGAAUUCUCUUUAUUGUAAUUGAAAUAAAAAUUUUUAAAAAAUUAAAGGAAAAAUAAUAGUGGUAACAAUGUACAUGUAACAAGAAAUUUUUUUAUUGCAAUUGAAAUAAAAACUUAAAAAAAAUUAAAUGAGCUAAAAAAAUUUUUUUUUCAUAUAGAGAGGUAUUUUUAUCAUUCAAUCAAAAGUUAAACAGAGUCAUUAAAAAUAACUAAAAAAUUAAUAGAAUUGAGGAUGCGGUGCAACACGUUAUUUUUUUAGAUGCUCCGUGCAAGAUAUCAAUUUAUUUGAGGUUAGUUUAAAAAUUUCCCAAAUAAAAAUCAACAAGUUAGUUUUGGGGGAAAAAAAGGAAAGAAAUUAUUGUGCUUUUAUACUCACAUGGUGCCAUUGAAUAAAAGAACUGGUUUUUUUUUUCUUUCAAAGUUUUGAAGACCGGGCCUACAUGCCGAAAAUGUCAGUAGUUGUCUUUACGUCACAACUUAAUUCAGCCGUUGAUGGGAUCCAACGGUCAAAACGUGAGUGUCCGCAUAUUUUUUAAGCUACGGGUGUCCGCGUGAGAGAACCACCGCUUAUUUCUGUACUUUAAAAACUGAGAUGAUCUAAACUCACGAUGAAAAUUUUCUAAUAUCUUAACUACUUUUAGCAAAAUUAUUAUUUAAAUAUUAUAUUAUUAAUUUUUAUUUAAUAAAUUAUUUUUUUGACUAUAAUAACUGGAUCCUACGGUACAAUCAUAGUUAUCUUUUGUGUCAACAGUGUUGUAAAAUGUCUCUGAACCCCUUUCAUUCAUUUUUAUUUAAACUUUACCUCAUAAAUAUUAAAUUAAUUUCUAUUGUAUCCAUAUAAACAUUAUAAAUAGCACCUUAUACUAUUUGCAAUUUAUACAUUUUUCUUCUAUAUUGCACCUUUAUUACAAUACCCCUCUCUUUAUCACAAAUACCAGUGAACCCGACUCGAAUUUCGUUUCCAUUUUUAUCCACGCCACCGGCCAAGGUUGGUACCGAUCGGAAGAUCGUGCGACGCCGGUCAUCUCCACGCCAUCCUUGUAGCAAAAAUAACUGGGUCAACCCGACUCGCGAAACUGACCCGGAUUUUGUUUCCGUUUCCAGCUACUCCACCAGCCAAGGUUGGUAUCGAUCGGAAGCUUGUGCGACGCCGGUAAUCUCCAUGUCAUCCUUGUCGCCGUAAAACAUUCGGAAAGCUGCCGAUCGAAGCCGUGAAAAGUCACAAAAUCCUGCUUCAAUUCACCGCGGUUUCUCCGGUUUUCGGUGACGCCACUACUUGGGCUUUGUUCUCCACAGUUCCCUCUGUCUUUUCUGACCAACCACAGCCACCGGAGGAGCCGAUUUGCCGUUGAUCGGCCGUUGAAGGAUUCACGGGUUUGAGAGAAAUGAACUUAAUAUUUGUGAAGGAAAGUUUAAAUAAGAAUAAGUGAAAGGACUUUAUGAAAUUUUACACAAAAAAAGACAAAAGCGGUGGCAUGGUGCCACUGUUGCACGAUAGGCGAGUCCAUAAUAACUAUGACUUAAAUGUUAGAUACAUGUGACUCGAUUGGUGAAAUAGUCUCUCUCCAAAAAAUCAUUUUUUUUUUACCGCCGUACAAAGAAAAUAUUUUGUUGCGAAUGAAUAAAUUGUGGAUAGUGAUUGAGCAGGAUCGUGUCCACAGAGAUCGGUAAUUAUUUAAAUCCUUUUGAAACGUAAAACAUAAAAUGGGGGUUUUGUUGACAAUAAUAAAAAUUAAAUUAAAAUAACAAGAAUGCAAAUUAAAGUUGUAAUUCAAAUUGGAGAAAGCUCUGGUUGAAGGAAUUAACUCAGCUUGAUUCGACUACUGAUCAUUGAUUUAAAUAUAAAUUAUUACUACUUAUAAAUAGACCAGUUAUAGCUACCGAGACCCUCUAAUAGUCAAUCUCUCCUUAACUAGUCGAUAACCAAGGUACGACUGUUGGUUAUUUCCCUAAUCAAUAGACAACCCUAGAUACGAUCAUAGGAUUUAAUCAAUUGACAGCCUGAAAAACCAGAGAGACCCAAAUCAUAAUCAACAAAUACAUAUAAUUGUUCAUUUAAAUUAGAUUGUUUAUUCUCAUAACACAACUCACUGCUACGUUAUUUGUCACAAACAUUAAAAUCUUCAUACGAUAAAUCCUUUAAUUGACAAUAUAUUAAGUUGAUAAUUAAAUAGUGGCCAAUUACCUAAUUAACAAACAUAAUCAUGAGAAUAAUUCAGAGAAUAAACAAAUACCCAAAAAGUAAUAAAACAAUUAAAGUAUAAGAAAGAUCUCACAGUAGUGAUGAAUCAAAGUUUCAUUAUCCUUCAACCAGAAAAAUAGUUUUAGUUCUUCAUAGAGAGAAGAAAAAAGUUUAGAUCUAGGAUUUCUUCCUUUUUGUCCCCAAUCUCCCCUGGUUCACAAUAGAUUCCUCCCUUAAACACUCUCUCUCUCUUCUCCUUUAGAGUUCUAUUUAAAAUAAAAUACUAAUAUCUGAAAUAUUAAAUUCGUAAUUACAAAAAAACCAAAAAUACAAAACACGUUAAACUAAAAACUGCAGUCCGUAGUUGACAGUACGCGCCCACGCCUUAUCAACAAAGUUCUUCUGACGCUCAUAAUUUCUCUAAGAGAACAAUCAUCCUUAAACAUCAUCUUGUAACUAAAUUUUAGCACCAAUCAAUAGAAUUGCACCUAUAAAAAUAAAACACAAGUAAAUCACUAUUAUUAAGUAUAAAAUAUCAAUAUUAAAAAAAUAUAAUUUAAAAUUAAUACAUAAAUUACACUCUAACAAAAUUAUCCAUACGUAAAAUCAUAAUUAUUGAUACAAGACCAUUUCCACAUAAAAAGCCUCGAUCUCGCAUCUAAAUAUGUAUAAGCUGACAAAAUGAUAUUUGACAUUUCGGUAAACAAAUGAAAAGUUCCAAAAGGUUGAAAUGAAGGAUUUCGAAUACGUGGAAUCCACACGCCACAUGCUCCGCAUUCACACAUACGAUAAAAGAAACAGGUAAGCCGGCAUUAAACAAAAGCGACUCAAGGCGUCGCCGCCCCUACCUAAUAAAGGCACCAUUUCAAGAAUUAUCAACUUAGUCCCUCUUUUCAUGAAUAAUUACUCAGGAUUUUGGAUUUCAUUUUAAUAAGUUUUUAUUCUCAAAUAAGUUUGAUAUACAUGCAUUUCUAAUACGUUCAUUUAUACUUUUUUUUAAUAAAAUUUUACAAACAAAUAUUCCUCUUUCUUAUAUUCUCUCCGCAAAAACGAAGGUUAUUUGUAAAUUUCAAGAUCAUUAUGAAAAUAAGAAAUAUAAUUUUAAAUGCACCGUAAUUAGUAUAUUGUAUUUGAAAAAAAAUUAAAAUUGAAGAAUCUAAUUGAAGACUUAAGCUUUUAAACAUGAAAGAAAAAAUUGAAUGAAAUUUAAAAAAGAAAAUUAACUAGUUAUUUUAUUUUACUAAUAAAAAAAAAAAAGACAUCUACAUCCAUAUAGUUUACUUAGAUGGUCACAUGGGCCACGUUAGUUUCAAAAAGAAAAAAAUCACAUAAACCUAAUUAAGAGAAUUAAUAACGUAACUAACCUAUUCAAACAGUGAAACGAGGAACUUCGAGGUUGCUGCAAAGUUCUAAUACUAAUCUGGUUUGUUUGGUUAUAAAUAAAGAGGCCUUUCUCUAGUAACUCUUAGACAAAAUGGCUUCACUUCGUUAUCUUCUCGCAGCAGCUCUUCUUGUUGCUUUUGUGCUUGAGGGAUCACCAUCUCAAGCUCAACUUUCUCCAUCUUUUUAUUCUUCCACAUGCCCUAAUGUAUUGAACACUAUCGAGGAUGUGCUUAAGAAAGCUUUCUCGUCCGAUAUCCGGAUCGGUGCCAGCCUCAUCAGGCUUCAUUUCCAUGACUGUUUUGUUGAUGUAAGCAAUCUCUGCUCUCUCAUUUUUCAUAUUCUUUACUUUAUCAAGCUCUCUGUCCAUGUACUUACUGAUAUAACAUAGUUUCAAGUAUGUCAAUGAACAGUAUCUUUAUAAUUUUUAUGGCAUUAAACAAAAUAUAGAGUUUUCAUAAAGCCUAAGGAAGAGUUUGAAUAUAUCAUUUUAUGUUCAACAACUUCCAAAACCAUUUAUAUAUAUUUUCUCUUUUAUCUGUCUGCUACUCAUUGCAUUCUUCUUCUGACCGCAUAUUCAUGCACGUAGAGAUCCUCACCCCCAACCCCAAGCUAAAAGAUCUGAUUUUUUCGCUUCAGCCGUACAACAAAACUUUCCUCUCUAAUUUGGAUGUACCGAAGACCAUGUAAUUCUUUUUUUAUAAAUAAAUUUUAAUAUGGGGUUUUCAUGCACUAAAAAUUUUAAUCUAGUAAAGAUUUGGUCCAAAACAGGAAUUAAAAUCCAUCUCAUGGCCUCACCCCUGCUGAGUGCUUUUAAUGAUCAUGGGUCCAAUAUUAAUGGUGUAUGGUUGAAAAUAAAUCACACUUGUUUUAUAUUCUUCCAGCCGAAAAUUUAAAUCAACAGGAAAUCCUAGUCAUAAAAACAUAUGUAAUAAUAAGACAAUUUAAACAAGAAGAGUUUGCAUUAUUUAUAUAAUUUUUUUGAAUUCCUGUCCAUAAGAUAAGAAGGAAUCUAUCUACUUGUAAAACUAACAAUACAAUGGACUGUUAACAUAGCAAGUUGUUAAUUAAUAUUAUUUUUUCAGGGGUGUGAUGCAUCGAUUUUGCUGGACAGCACUAACACCAUAGACAGCGAGAAAUUUGCUGCGCCAAAUAACAAUUCGGCGAGGGGUUUUGAAGUUAUUGAUAACAUGAAAGCUGCCGUUGAAAAGGCAUGUCCAAGGGUUGUUUCCUGCGCUGAUAUUCUUACUAUUGCGGCUGAACGAUCCGUUGCUUUGGUAAUGAAUUUCUAUUACCAACUCCUCUUCCUGGUUAAUAUUUUACGCUUAGAAGUAAAUUAAUAUGGGUAUCAGAAUAAGUUAAGAGAAUAAUGGUAAACCUUUGCAGUAUUAAUGUAAUUUUUAACUAUUUUUUUCAAUUAAUAAUAACCCCUAUAAAUUUAACGUGUUUUUAUAUUAUUUUUUCAGUUAAUUAAAUAACCCGUGAGUUCAACUUUACCCUUAGAAGAAUACAUUAAUUAAAUAAUUAUUUACAUAGAACAAUGUGCAAGAUCUGGGUCCACAUGUUUAGCCUUUGCUAGUUUUUUUGACAAAAUUGUCUAUGUUUAGCCUUUACUAGCCUUUGCUAGUUAUUGCAUCUGCUAUUCAACGACAAAAUUGUCCCACCAUGUGGAAAUUGAUUUAAGUGAAGGGAUUCAUCCUUGGACCCAUCAUUUUUAAAUUCGGACGAUGUGGUGGACUCCAUUAUUUAAAAGGGGUGAUUUAUUGACUAUGGUGCAUUAGCUACACUGUAUGGUACCAAAAUUGCUACACGUAUGGCAAUAUAGUGAAUAUUGACGGAUAAAUUGUUACCGACAGCGAGACACUUUUUACUGCGCUGGUGCAUCGUAGUAGCAAGGCCUUAGUUUUAAACUUAAAAGUUUUCUUCUUUUGUUAUACGACAAAGUUUUGAUUCAACGGCUAGCAAAUUAAAUAGUCCGCCCCAAACGCACAUCUCUUAAGAUUAUUGCUGAUUUUGAGUGAAUGGCUCUUGGUUACAGUCAGGGGGUCCGUCAUGGGCAGUUCCAUUGGGAAGAAGAGACAGCAGAACGGCAAACAGAGCUCUUGCAAAUCAGAAUCUUCCAGGACCAUUUGAUACUCUUGAUGAGCUCAAAUCUAGUUUUAGAAAUGUUGGCCUCAAUGACAAGCUUGAUCUUGUUGCACUCUCCGGUAAUUAUUAAUUGCUUCUACAUCCUUUUAGUUACUUGAGUAAAGUUAUGAGAGUAAACUUUUAGGAGUCAAAACUGCCUGCUACUAGUAACUCAUACUCAAAAGUUAAUUCACGAAAUGAGUGUUGGUGCCUUAAAUUUAUAUUUACUUAACUCCAAAUUUAAAUAAUAUCCCUAACAAUAAAAUUAUCAUUAUUGUUCCUCGUAUGUGAAUUCAGUAAAAAUAACAAAGAUUUGGUCAUGCAUGUUUUUCAGGAGCACACACGUUCGGAAGGGCUCAGUGCCAAUUUUUCAGGGGCAGAUUAUACGAUUUUAACAACACUGGCAAGCCAGACCCAACCCUAGACGCAACCUUCUUACAACAACUGAGGAAACUAUGCCCACAAGGUGGAAACGGCGGCGUUCUUGCUAAUUUUGAUGUCACGACACCUGAUGUUUUCGACAACAAAUACUUCUCCAAUCUUAGAGGCCGCAAAGGCCUUCUGCAGAGUGAUCAAGAGUUGUUUUCGACUCCUGGUGCCGAUACCGCUGCCAUUGUCGAGGACUUUGGGAGGAACCAGAAUGCUUUCUUUAAAAACUUUGUGACCUCAAUGAUAAGAAUGGGAAAUUUGAAACCACUGACAGGAAAUCAAGGGGAGAUUAGAUUGAACUGCAGGAGGGUCAAUGGAAACAGUAAUAUUGCAACAAGAUCAUCAUCAUCA